rnacentral:lncRNA from 1 species
CAAGGGAAGAAAAUGGGGGAGACGCUGGGGAAUUUGGGGUCUGUAAUGGCGACAUUGAUGUUCAUCUGGGCUAUGUUCCAGCAAUACUUCCCUUGUGACCACAUCGAAAAAUACUCCCAUAGAUUGAUGAAGUUUUUCUACCCCCACAUCCAAAUCACUUUCGAUGAAUACGGCAGAGGUCAUUUCAUGCGCCAUGAAUUCUACACCGCCAUCGAGACCUACCUCAGCUCCAAUACCGCCGACCAAGCCAACAGCCUCAAAGCCAACACCGCCAAAAACAACCAGUCACUGGUUCUCACCAUUGAUGACGGUGAAGAGGUUGAAGAUGAGUUUGAGGGAGUGAAGCUGUGGUGGACUUCAAGGACGAUCACAGCCGAAACUCAGACCUCCCGCUCCUAUGAGCAGCCGGAUGAGAAGAGGUACUACCGGCUGACUUUCCACAAGAAACACCGGGAUUUGAUCACCAAGAAGUACCUCAGUCAUGUGUUGAGGGUAGGGAAGGCGAUUAAGGUCAGAACCCGGCAGCGGAAGCUUUAUACCAACAGUUGGUCGAUGUGGAGCCAUGUGGUCUUUGAUCACCCUGCAACUUUUCAAACUCUUGCCAUGGAGGCUGAUAAGAAGAGGGAGGUGAUCGAGGACUUGGUUUCUUUCAGCAAGGCUGAGGAUUUCUACGCAAGAAUUGGGAAAGCUUGGAAGCGGGGUUACCUCCUUUAUGGCCCUCCAGGGACGGGAAAAUCUACCAUGAUUGCUGCCAUGGCGAAUCUGUUGCUGUACGACGUCUAUGAUCUUGAACUGACGGCGGUCAGUGACAACACCGAGCUGAGGAAGCUGCUGAUGCAGAUUCCGAGCAAGUCCAUCACUGUGAUUGAGGACAUCGACUGCUCCCUCAACUUGACGGGUCAGAGGAAGAAGAUGAAGGAGAACAAGGCGGCCGAGGAGGAAGAGAAGGACCCCAUUAAAAAACAAGCGAAGGUAGGAGACUCUGAUGAAGGGAAAACCAGCAAGGUGACUCUUUCCGGGCUGUUGAACUUCAUUGACGGCCUUUGGUCGGCCUCAAAGGGGGAAAGGCUAAUAGCGUUCACGACGAACCACAUGGAGAAGCUCGACCCAGCUCUGAUUCGGCGAGGAAGGAUGGACAAGCACAUCGAAUUAUCAUACUGUAGCUUUGAAUCAUUCAAGGUGCUGGCUAAGAACUAUCUGGAGCUUGAUUCCCACUACCUGUUCGACACGAUUGAGAGGCUGUUGGGGGAAAGUAAAGUGACCCCAGCUGAUGUUGCUGAGCAUUUGAUGCGUAAGAAUACAAGUGUGGCUGAUGCUGAAACAAGCUUGAAGAGCCUGGUUCAGGCAUUGGAGAUGGCCAAGAAAGAAGCAAUGUUGAAGGCCAAGGAAGAAGGCAAAGAGGAGUCAUCUGCUAGGGAAGAAGAUUGAUGAUCACUGACAAUAGAGACUGUGAUUGUGUUUAUCAUUCUGAAUUAAUUCCUGGGAAUUAUGAAAUAUUGGUCAAGUUAAUAGUUUGGUAAUUGAGGUUAAUGGGAAAUGCAUAUGGUGACCAAUUCUGAAGAUCUUUUCUAGGGCUUAAGACAUGGGAAAGGACUAGAGAAAUGAGAGAUGAAGAUAUUGGGAGGAAAGGAUAAGAGAAAUGAAAGGGGGAAGUUUGUGCCUAAUGAAUAUUUUUACAACGGAAGAAUGAAUGCCGAACACUUCUUUUAUGGAAAUUGAACAAGUUAGUAAUAUAAACAUUGUUCGAGCCCUUUGAUAGUGAUUUUAAAAAAUAUUUUUAAUAUUUAAAAAAUUUUAUUAUUCAAGUUUUAAAAAUAUUAAAAACGUUUUCUACUAACCUUAUCAAACAUAUUUUUCAUUUACUAAUAAAAAAAAGUGUUUUUCAAUAGUUGCAAUCAUACUUGGUUUGACUAUGCUUUUAGAUAACAUAUAUAAUAUCAAUAACAUUUAUCAAGAAAUCAAACAUUUGAAAAGAUUAAUAUUUUGAAAGUAAGGUAAAUAUCUAUUUUUUAAUAUAUUUUUAUAAUAUAAUAAGGCCUAUGAUUUAAUAAUUUAAAAUUUUAAAAAUGAAUUUUAACCAUAUUAAAUAAAAAAAUAAUAUUAAAAUAAUUUAUUUAAGUUGUUUAAUUCCAUAUGGAAAAAAAGAUUAAAUUUUUUUGAAUUAUUUAAUUUUUAUAUAAAAGAGAAAAAUAAAUAAAUUAUUUUUAGAAAUCAAAUUAUAAUUGGAAAUUAAAUAUGAAAAACAUUUUUUUGAAUUUUUUUUGUAUAAACAUAUUAUAAAUUUAGCAUAGUAUAAAAAUACUCAAUCUUACUUAAUUUAAAGUUCAUUAAUUUUUUUUAAAAAAAUAUAAUUAUAUGUAAAGGGAAAAACUAAUAAACUUAUUCAAAUUGAAUUUUGGUUUCUAACUUUUUAAUGUUAACUGUAUCAAUUUUGAGUUCAUAACUGUAGUAUUAAUUGAUUCGAUUUUAAAAUUUUAAAUUAUUUUUAAAAAUUAAUGAAUUUUAUAUAUAAAGUCUUACUUGAUUUGUCUUAAGAAAAAGAAAAAAUAGAUAAGUUAAAGGAGAAUUUUAUUAAAAUACAUAUAAUUUAAAGUGAGACCAUAUUUAAAGAUUUUCUGUAUCAUUAUUGGGUAAUGAAGGAAAAUGUAUGAAGAAAGAUACAAUGCUAUACUAUUUUUUGCUUUUUAUGAUUUUUUUUUUCUAAAUUUUUCUUUUCUUUUUAAUAACUAGUGAAAACAAAUUUUAUUUAUCUUUUAAAAAUUAUUUUCUAUUUCCCUUGUUUCUAAAAACAGUUAAAACAAGCACUUUUUGGAUGCAACACCUAGAAGGACAAUCUCCUCCUAGCUUCCUUCCUUCAUGGCUUCCCAUUAGUAGCCUAUGGUUUAACCAAUGACCGUUUGCAUAUGGCAUAAAAAUAAAAGAAAGAAAAAACAUUAAACUUAGAGUUGUUAGUUGCUCAAUAAACCUUUUGUGUAGGUUCCUAAACUUAUAUUUUGUUUUUGAGAAGUAAUAACGUUAUGUUUGAUUUCUGAAAGUAUAAAAAUCAAAAACUAAGAAAAAUGACUUUCUCGUGUUGGAUUUAUAAUAAAAAAUACAAAAAUAAAAUAAAAUAACUAAAAUAAGUUAAAAAUGUAUUUAUUUUGAAAAUAUUUAAUCUUUAUAAAAAAAGAAAAAAAUUAAAAUGAGUUUAAAGAAAUAUAUAAAAAUGAAUAUUAACAUUAAUUUUUAUUUUUAUUUUUUUCUCUUAUAUUUUUUUCUCAAAAUUUCUAAAAUCCAAGUAGAGUAUAAAGGAAAUAAAAAUUAUUUUCUCACUAUGUAUCAUACAAAAUACGAGAGAAAAUAAAAUAUAAUUAAAAAUAAUUAAAACUUAUAUGUCUUGAAAUUAUUUAAUUUUUUUUUAUAUAAACCAUGAAAAAUAAGUGAAAUAAGUUUUAAAAAUAUAUAAAAUAAUUUAUUAAAUUUAAAUUUAUUUUUUAUUUUCUUUAAUAUUUUCUUUAAUGCAAAAUACCUGCAGAUAGAAUUUCCUCAAGGAUGGCAUAGAGUGGAAUGCUCCAUGAAGUGUGGCCCACGCAGGCCCAACGUCACAAUCAAGGACCAUGCCGUCCCGAGCCCAAGCCCAAGUCCAAGCUAAACCGAAAGCUAAGGGAGGGCCCAAUCCGAGGAACAUAGCCCAUCAUGGAAUCUAAAACCAACCCAUGAAUUAAUGGCUCGUGCUCAAUUGCUAAUUCAUGAUUAACCAUUGUUUUAGUUGCCAACAAAGGUUAAGCCCUGAGUCAAUUUGUGCUAAUCCCAUCCGCACAACAAUUUUGACCAAAAUACCAUUUUUUUAAUAUUUAUUUAAGCAUGAUAUAUUUUCAAAACUAAUAAUUAACUUACAUAACUUUUUGAGAAAUUAAUUGAAAAUCGACAUCAAUUCAAAUAUUGAAGCUGGUCGGCUUUUCAACUUUUUCCACUUUUUUUGACUCUAAUCGAUAAUAAUUGAAUUAGACAAAAUUCUAAGAUUUUAAUAUAUAUAUAUAUAUAUAUAUAUAUAUUUUUAAUAACUAUGGAUGUCCGGAGCAGCUUAUGUUGGUCUGGACUAAUCCCAUGAGGUCCUGAAGUUAAGGGCCUGAAGUUAAGGGUGAGAAAUUAACUGAAAAUCGACAUCAAUUCAAAUAUUGAAGUUGGUCGGCCUUUUAACUUUUUCCGCUUUUUUUUUUUACUCUAACCGAUAAUAAUUGAAUUAGACAAAUAUUCUAAGAUUUUAAUAUGUUUUUUUAUUAUUUAUUUAAUAAUUGUGGAUGUCCGGAGCAGCUUAUGCUGGCAUGGACUAAUCCCAUGGGGCUCUGAAGUUAAGGGUCGGGUAAACCUCCAAUGGCCCUAAGGGGACUUGAACUGGUGACCAUUGGAGAGCAAAUCCAAGGUCGGACCAACAAAGUUACUCCCUAAGAUUAUAAAAUUUUCAUAUCUUAUUUGAUGUUUGACGAAUUUUUUUAUUAUUUAUUAGUAUAUAUAUUUGUAAAUACUAUUAAAAUAAUUCAUUGUUGCUAGACUAUAUUCAAAUUAAUUUGUAAGUACAUUUAUUAUAUUUCAAACUAAAAACUUUAAGGUUACGUUUGGUUCCGAAAAGUAUAAGAGAAAGAAAAAAAAAUGUUGGGUUAUAUUUGGUUUUUGAAAAAUGCUGUAGAAAGAAAAAAGUAUUAAAGUAAAUUAUUUUUUCAUAUUAGGUUUUAUUAUAGAAAAUAUAAAAGAAAAUUAAAUAUAAUUAAAAUUAAUUUGAAAUUUACAUGUUUUUAAAUUAUUUAAUUUUACUAUAAUGGAGAGAAAAAAGUAAAAUGAGUUUAAAGAAAUGUAUAAAAAUAAUUUAUUAAAUUAUUUUUUUUUCUUCACUUUUUUUUUUUUUACUUUUCCUCUCUAUUUUAUUUUCUUCACAUUUUCUUGAGAAUUUUAUGGGAACGGAACAUAACUUUAAUGAAAUCAAAUAUUUAGCCCCGCAUUAAUAUUCGAGAUACAUUUUCAAAAUUCAUAUUUUUGUUCAUAAACAUUAUGCAUUAUAUUAUUGUCGAGCAUCAUAAGUUAUACAUAUUAAUUUUUUAAUAUAACGACUUCAAUAUAUCUAUUAUAAUUAUUUGUUUUAUCAUUUUUAGAAGUUUUUUUUUAAUUAAAGAAACAUAAAUAAAAAUAACAAAUGAGAAGAACACGAGAACUAUUUGAUAAAAUUUUAUAUUUGGUCACCUGUAUUUAAUCCAAUCAAAUUAACCUUUUACAUAAAAGGUCUGACUACAAUAUUGAAGGUACUUUAAAAAAACAUUAUCAAUCAAAUAAUACCGUAUAUAUAAAUUAUGGUCUCACUAUUUAUACUUUGGUUUUAUUUGUUUGUAUUUUUAUAUUUUUAUGAUAUUCAUAUGUAUACUCUUGUUUAAUGAUUUAAAUUUCAUUAUUUAUAUUUUGACGAUUAUUUAUAUUAAAGAGCAUGAUAUGAAUAUCGAAUUUAAACGAGAUAAGUUAAGGUUUUUAGAAAAAUUGAGAGAUGAACGUGGCAUUAGGAUUUGGUAGACGUGAACCUCAUGGGUUUGAACCACCAUCUCUAGAUGGAUUGCAACAUGAUGUAGUGCCAUGACACAUUGAAAUGACGCAAUGACUGCCGUCCAUUCACUUGCUAACUAGUCAGCUACAACACUCCCCAUUUAUUAAAUUAGAUAUAGAGAAGAUACAAAUUUCUCAAAGGUCGGUCAUAUUUAAUAAUAAUAAUAAUAAAUGUCACAGCAUUUCCAUCCACCUUUUUUCACACCUAUUGGUAAGGGUAGGAGCGUGGCUGACUCGACCUCAUCUUCCUAGUGGGCACCAGCGGACAAAGCUCCACUCGAUUACGAAGAACCAACUAUAGUGUGAGACAGGCCUAUUCGUUUGGUCAUGGAGUGGAUGUUUCGACUUGGAAGGAAAAAAAGGGAGGAAGGGAGGAGGACCCACAGUCCAGUGUCGUCGAAAUAUGGUCUAUAUGAGUUGCAUGUAUGGCACCCUAGCUGUAUUUUUUCACGAGGCAGAGAAUAUUUCCAGCGACUUUGAAGUCGUUUUCCACUCGUAUAUGGCAGCAGGGAGUGGUGGGUGCAAAUGACUCAUCUUUGAUGGGAUGUGCCGGGAAAGUCGUGUGAAUCCAAGAUUUAUAAAUAUAUAAAGUUACCAAGCUUUGGUCAUGUUUGCUAACUUUGCUGCCAAGUUGAUAGAAAAUAGAUGGCUUUAAGUACGUUUUCUAGUUGUUUUUAUUUCUUUUUGGAUAAUUAAUUUAAAAUAUAUAUAUAUAUAUAUAUAUAAUUUACAAAAACAUUUCAAGUUACUAAAUAAACUUUUAUUCUGUAAAACAUUCUUUCAAAAAAUUAUGAUGGUGUUUGGUAAUGGUUUUUUAAAAUAAUUUUGAAAAAUGGUUUUUUUAGAAAAUUGUUAUUUGAUUUUUUGUAAAACAAAAAUUUGUUUCGAAAUCUAAAAUGUUUUUAAUCUAUUUUUAAUAUUUUAAAAAUAUUUUUUCUUUAUAUCUAAAACUUUAUUUUUAAUCAUUAUAAAUGUUUGUAUGAGUAUUUUUUUAAAACAGUUCUUAAAAAAUAAAUGAAAACAAUUAAAAAAAAACUAAAAGAUGUUUUAUAAAAAUAAAAAAUUAUUCUAAAAAAUAGUUAUUAAAUAAAACCUUUACUUUGAUAUAAAAACAAAAUAACGAAGGAGAAAGAAGAGGCACUAAAAAGGUUUAUUUGAUGAAAAAGUUCAUUGAAAAUAAUGAUUUUCCUUCUUUGAAAAAAUUGAAAUUAUAACUUCUUUCAAUAAAAAUAUCUUUUAACAAUUUUUGAAUUUUUAUCCCUCAUUAAACAGUUUUUUGGAUAAAAAGUUGAAGGGGUAAAAAUGCCAAAAUGAGGUUAUAUAUAUGUAAUUUGCAAUACAUAAAAGUUAUAUUUUUUUCAACAUUUUCGCAUCCUUUAUAAUCCAAUAUUUCGAUGAAAAACUAUUUUUCGAACUUGAAAAUAAGUUUGAUAAUUCUUUGAUAGAAAAUUUAUUUUGAAAAUGUGGCAUUUUUUGAGAAUAUUUUUUUUUUUUUUCAAUUAUUUUGGGUAUUAUAAAUAAAAGUUAUUUUAAAAAAAUAUUUAAAAGUUAAGUUAUAAACAGACUUAACUGUUUUUGAAAUUUUUUUACAAAGAAGAUGAUUUCUUUUUAUCCGACAUUAUAAAAGUGAAGAAAAUAAUAUGAGAAAAAAGAGAGGAAAAUAUUAAGGGAAAAAUGAAGAGGAAAAAUAUGAGGGACAAAAAUAAAAAGAAAAUUUUUGUUUAGUUGAAUAAAGGAAAAACAAUAUUAAAUCAUUUAAAGAAAAUAUUCCUUGGUAUUACUUUCAUAGCUUUUUCUUUGAUAUAAAAAAAAAGAAAAAAAAAUCAUUUUCCUUAACUCUUUUUUCAUACAUCCAAAUAUUAGAAAAUGAUUGCUUUUAGAUUAUUUUUUUUCAUUUCUUAUUACUUUUCAAAAAUCAAACAUAAUUUUAGAUAAAUGUAAAAAAAAAAAAAGAAGCAAAAUUUAUAAAAUAAAAUUUAUCCACUAAAAUUCAUAUUAAAAAUAAAAUUUCAAAUAUUAAGGGUUUGUUUGACAACUGUUUUCAAGAAUAGUUUUAUAUUUUUUAGAACAAAAAAAUUGUAAAACAUAUUUGGCAACCAAAAAACCAUUUUAUGUUUUAUGUUCCCAAAAUUAGAAAAUAUGAGAUUUUCAAAAAAUAUCUUUUAGUUAUUUUCAAUUAUUUUUUGUUGUUUUUGGAAAACUGUUUUAAAAAAUAAUUAUAAAAACAUGUAUAAUAAUUAAAAAUAAAUCUCUAGAUAUAAAAAUUAUUUUUAAAACAUAUUUAAAAAUAUUAAAAAUAGGUUAAAAAUUUUUCAGGUUUUCAAAUAGACUUUUAUUCUAGAAAACAUCAAAGAAUAAUUUAAAAAAAAUUUUAAAUCUAUUUUUAAAAACAGUUAUCAAACAUGACCUAAUCUUCUAACAUUAUGAGCACAUAAAGAGAUAGAGAAAACACUUUCCAUAUUUCAAAAGUCUUAUGAAUCUAAGAAAAUGUUAAAAAUAGGAGAAAAAAAAGUAAAAAAAAAAUGUAAAUUCUUUUAUUUAUUUAUUUUAUGACAAAAAAUAAGAAUUAAAAUUAAAUAUAAUAAAAUUUAUUUAAAAUUUUAUAGAUAUUCAAAUACUAAUUUAUAUAUAUAUAAGAGAAGGGUAAAAAUAGAAAAAUAAGGCAUGUUUGGUAACUGUUUUCGGAAAUAGUUUUGAAAAAUAAUUUUUUGAAAACUGUUCUUUGAUAUUUUGUAAAAUAAAAGUAUGUUUGCAAACGUAAUUUUUUUUAAUAUUUUAAAAUAUGUUUUAAAAGUAAUUUUUAUAUCUAAUAUAUUUUAUUUUUAAUUAUUCUACAUGUUUGUAUAAUUAUUUUUUAACAUAGUUCUCAGAAAAUAUGUGAAAACAAUAAAAAAUAAUCAAAAGAUAUUAUCUAAAAACACUAUUAAAAACAUAAAAUAGAAAAUAGUUUUUGGUUAUAAAACAUAUUUUCAUAGUUUUUUUGUUUUGAAGAAUAGAAAACUAUUUUAAAAAAUAGUUAUCAAACAAACCCAAGAAAUUAACGAUACUUCUUUAUCUUUUGAGUUGUUCUGCCAAAUUGGUCUCUUAAGACCUUUGGUUUCUGCCUAGACCGAUGAAAAAAAUGGGAUCACUUCUUAUGGACUUGUUGAAAAUGAUUCUGAUAUAGUUUACAACUUAUUAGAAAAAAAAAAAAUCGAUCUAGUGAGAUUCUCAUGAAUAGAAAAAAAUGGUAGUCAAUUUGAUAACGAUGAUAUUACUUUUUCAGAACUAAGGAAUACCUUAUAUAUAAUGUUUAGAAAAUCAAAUUUACAUAAUAAAAACUUUAUGAAUAUUCUGAAAUAAUUUUAAAAAAUAGUUUUUAAAAAUAUUUUUCAAUUAUUUUCAAGAUUAAAUUUGGAAACUCAAAUAAAAUAUUUAAAAAACAUUUUUUUCUUGCAUGAUACAAUUUUAAAAGCAUUAUCUUUAUUUUAGUUGUAAUUAACAAUUUAUAAAAUAAUACAACUAAAAUACCUGAACUUUAAAAAAUAAUUCGCUUGGAGAGUAAUUAAUUUUUUUUUAAAUAUAAAAAAGUGUUUUAAUUAGAAAAUUAUUUUCUAUUUCAGAUGAGGGGUUUUAUGUACUUUCCUUCCUCUUUCUUUCCCAUUUCCAUACCUUUUUCUCAAUCCUGUGGACAUCCAAGCAGAGCGUCUAUAUAAGGAGAUAUAACACAUCCCCUGAGUAUGGGGACACGUGAGAAGACAAAGACAAGGGAAGAAAAUGGGGGAGACGCUGGGGAAUUUGGGGUCUGUAAUGGCGACAUUGAUGUUCAUCUGGGCUAUGUUCCGGCAAUACUUCCCUUGCGACCUCAUCGAAAAAUACUCCCACAGAUUGAUGAAGUUUUUCUACCCUCACAUCCAAAUCACUUUCGAUGAAUACGGCAGAGGUCAUUUCAUGCGCCAUGAAUUCUACACCGCCAUCGAGACCUACCUCAGCUCCAAUACCGCCGACCAAGCCAACCGCCUCAAAGCCAACACCGCCAAAAACAACCAGUCACUGGUUCUCACCAUUGAUGACGGUGAAGAGGUUGAAGAUGAGUUUGAGGGAGUGAAGCUGUGGUGGACUCCAAGGACGAUCACAGCCGAAACUCGGACCUCCCGCUCCUAUGAGCAGCCGGAUGAGAAGAGGUACUACCGGCUGACUUUCCACAAGAAACACCGGGAUUUGAUCACCAAGAAGUACCUCAGUCAUGUGUUGAGGGUAGGGAAGGCGAUUAAGGUCAGAACCCGGCAGCGGAAGCUUUAUACCAACAGUUGGUCGAUGUGGAGCCAUGUGGUUUUUGAUCACCCUGCAACUUUUCAAACGCUUGCCAUGGAGGCUGAUAAGAAGAGGGAGCUGAUCGAGGACUUGGUUUCUUUCAGCAAGGCUGAAGAUUUCUAUGCAAGAAUUGGGAAAGCUUGGAAGCGGGGUUACCUCCUUUAUGGCCCUCCUGGGACGGGAAAAUCUACCAUGAUUGCUGCCAUGGCGAAUCUGUUGCUGUACGACGUCUAUGAUCUUGAACUGACGGCGGUCAGUGACAACACCAUGCUGAGGAAGCUGCUGAUGCAGAUUCCGAGCAAGUCCAUCACUGUGAUUGAGGACAUCGACUGCUCCCUCAACUUGACGGGUCAGAGGAAGAAGAUGAAGGAGAACAAGGCGGCCGAGGAGGAAGAGAAGGACCCCAUUAAAAAACAAGCGAAGGUAAGAGACUCUGAUGAAGGGAAAACCAGCAAGGUGACUCUCUCCGGGCUGUUGAACUUCAUUGACGGCCUUUGGUCGGCCUCCAAGGGGGAAAGGCUAAUAGUGUUCACGACGAACUACAUGGAGAAGCUCGACCCAGCUCUGAUUCGGCGAGGAAGGAUGGACAAGCACAUCGAAUUGUCAUACUGCAGCUUUGAAUCAUUCAAGGUGCUGGCGAAGAACUAUCUGGAGCUUGAUUCCCACCACCUGUUCGACACGAUUGAGAGGCUGUUGGGGGAAAGUAAAGUGACCCCAGCUGAUGUUGCUGAGCAUUUGAUGCCUAAGACAAGUGUGGCUGAUGUUGAAACAAGCUUGAAGAGCCUGGUUCAGGCAUUGGAGAUGGCCAAGGAAGAAGCAAUGUUGAAGGCCAAGGAAGAAGGCAAAGACAAGGAAGAAGGCAAAGAGGAGUCAUCUGCUAGGGAAGAAGAUUGAUGAUCAUUGGCAAUAGAGACUAUGAUUGUGUUUAUCCUUCUGAAUUAAUUCCUGGGAAUUAUGAAAUAUUGGUCAAGUUAAUAGUUUGGUAAUUGAGGUUAAUGGGAAAUGCAUAUGGUGACCAAUUCUGAAGAUCUUUUCUAGGGCUUAAGACAUGGGGGGAAAGGACAAGAGAAAUGAAAGGGGGAAAGUUUGUGCCUAAUGAAUAUUUUUACAGCAGGAGGAUGAAUGCCGAUCACUUCUAUUAUGGAAAUUGAAGACAUAAGUAAUAUAAACGUUAUUUGAGUUUGUUUGACGGUGAUUUUAGAAAGCAUUUUUAACAUUUUUAACAUUUGAAAAUUUUUAUCAUUCAAGUAUUAAAAAUGUUAUCAACGUUUUCUAUCAUUCUUAUUAAACAUACUUUUCAUUUAAUAAAAGAAAGUGUUUUUCAAUAGUUGCAGUCAUACUUGGUUUGACUAUGUUUGUAGAGAACAUUUAUAAUAUAAAUAACAUUUAUCAAGAAAUCAAACAUUUGAAAAGAUUAAUAUUUUGAAAGUAAGGUAAAUAUCUAUUUUUUUAAUAUAUUUUUAGAAUAUAAUAAGGCCUAUGAUUUAAUAAUUUAAAAUUUUAAAAAUGAAUUUUAACCAUAUUAAAUAAAAAAUCAUAUUAAAAUAAUUUAUUUAAGUUGUUUAAUUCCAUAUGGAAAAAAAGAUUAUUAUUUUUUAAUUAUUUAAUUUUUUAUAAAAGAGAAAAAAUAAUUUUUUUUAGGAAUCAAAUUAUAAUUGGAAAUUAAAUAUGAAAAACAUUUUUUUUGAAUUUUUUUUUUGUAUAAACGUAUUAUAAAUUUAGCAUAGUAUAAAAACACUCAAUCUUACUUAAUUUAAAGUUCAUUAAAAAAAAUUAAAAAAUAUAAUUAUAUGUAAAGGGAAAAACUAACAAACUUAUUCAAAUUGAAUUUUGGUUUAUGACUUUUUAAUGUUAAUCGUAUCAAUUUUGAGUUCAUAAUUGUAGUAUUAAUUGAUUCGAUUUUAGAAUUUUAAAUUAUUUUUAAAAAUGACUGAAUUUUAUAUAUAAAGUCUUAUUUGAUUUGAAAUAUAUUUGCCUUAAGAAAAAGAAAAAAUAGAUAAGUUGAAGGAGAAUUUUAUUAAAAUACAUAUAAUUUAAUACGAGACCAUAUUUAAAGAUUUCCGUAUCAUUAUUGGGUAAUGAGAGAAAAUGUAAGAAGAAAGAUACAAUGCUAUACUAUUUUUUUCUUUUUAUGAUUUUUUUUCUAAAUUUUUCUUUUCUUUUUAAAAACUAGUGAAAACAAAUUUUAUUUAUCUUUUAAAAAUUAUUUUCUAUUUCCCUUGCUUCUAAAAACAGUUAAAACAAGCACUUUUUGGAUGCAACACCUAGAAGGACAAUCUCCUCCUAGCUUCCUUCAUUCAUGGCUUCCCAUUAGUAGCUAUCUUUUCGCUAACUUCCACCGCGGUUUAACCAAUGACCGUCAACAUAUGGCAUAAAAAUAAAAAUAAGAAAAAACAUUAAAUUUAGAGUUAUUAGUUGCUCAAGAAACCUUUUGUGUUGGUUCCUAAAGUUAUAUUUUGUUUUUGACGUUAUGUUUGAUUUCUGAAAGUAUAAAAAUAAAAAACUAAGAAAAAUGUAUUUUUUGGAUUUAUAAUAAAAAUACAAAAAUAAAAUAAAAUAACUAAAAUGAGUAAAAAAUGUAUCUAUUUUGAAAAUAUUUAAUCUUUAUAAAAAAAAGAAAAAAAAUUGAAAUGAGUUUGAAGAAACAUAUAAAAAUAAAAAUUAAUAUUAAUUUUUAUUUUUAUUUUUUUCCCUUACAUUUUUUUCUCAAAAUUUCUAAAAUCCAAGUAGAGUAUAAAGGAAAUAAAAAUUAUUAAAAAAAAAUUAUUUUCUCACGAUGUAUCAUACAAAAUACGAGAGAAAAUAAAAUAUAAUUAAAAAUAAUUAAAACUUAUAUGUUUUCAAAUUAUUUAAUUUUUUUUAUAUAAACCAUGAAAAAUAAGUGAAAUAAGUUUUAAAAAUAUAUAAAAAUAAUUUAUUAAAUUUAAAUUUAUUUUUUAUUUUCUUUAAUUUUUUCUUUAAUGCAAAAUACCUGCAGAUAGAAUUUCCUCAAGGAUGGCAUAGAGUAGAAUGCUCCAUGAAGUGUGGCCCAGGCAGGCCCAACGACACAAUCAAGGACCAUGCCGUCCCGAGCCCAAGCCCAAGUCCAAGCUAAACUGAAAGCUAAGGGAGGGCCCAAUCCGAGAACGUAGCCCAUCAUGGAACCCAUAAGAGAAAACCAACCUAUGAAUUAAUGGCUCAUGCUCAAUUGCUAAUUCAUGAUUAACCAUUGUUUUAGUUGCCAACCAAGGUUAAGCCCUGAGUCAAUUUGUGCUUAUCACAUCCGCACAACAAUUUUGACCAAAAUACCAUUUUUUUUAAAUAUUUAUUUAAGCAUGAUAUAUUUUCAAAACUAAUAAUAAAUUUACAUAACUUUUUGAGAAAUUAACUGAAAAUCUUUUUUUUUUUCAAAGUACGACAUCAAUUCAAAUAAUGAAGUUGGUCGACUUCCCAUUAUAUUUUUUCCAACUAGUAUAGAUGGGGGAAGACUUUGAAAUUACCUUUUCCGCUUUUUUUUUACUCUAAUCGAUAGUAAUUGAAUUAGACAAAUAUUCUAAGAUUUUUAUUUUUUUUUAAUAACCGUGGAUGUCCGAGUUAGCUUAUGCUGGCCUCGACUAAUCUCAUGGGGCCUUGAAGUUAAGGGUCGGGACUCGAACUGGUGACCAUUGGGGAGCCAACCCAAGGUCAGACCAACUAAGUUAUCCCUCAAGAUUCUAAGAUUUUCAUAUCUUAUUUGAUGUUUGACGAUUUUUUAUUAUUAUUUAUUAGUAUAUAUAUUUUGUAAAUUCUAUUAACAUAAUUCAUUGUUGCUAGACUAUAUUCAAAUUAAUUUGUAAGCACAUUUAUUAUAUUUCAAACUAAAAAAUUUAAGGUUAUGCUUAGUUCCAGAAAGUACAAAAGAAAGAAAAAAAAUGUUGGACUAUAUUUGGUUUCUAAAAAAUGCUGAUGAAAGAAAAAAAUGUUAAAGUAAAUUAUUUUUUCAUAUUAGGUUAUAUUAUAGAAAAUGUAAAAGAAAAUUAAAUAUAAUUAAAAUUAAUUUGAAAUUUAUAUGUUUUUAAAUUAUUUAAUUAUGCUACAAUGGAGAGAAAAAAGUAAAAUGAGUUUAAAAAAUUGUAUAAAAAUAAUUUAUUAAAUUUAAACUUUUUUUUCUUCACUUGUUUUUUUUUUCUACUUUUCCUCUCUAUUUCCUUUUUUUCGCAUUUUCCUUCAAAUUUCCUGAGAACGAAACAUAACUUUAAUGAAAUCAAAUAUUUAGCCCACAUUAAUAUUCGAUAUACUUUUUCAAAAUUCAUAUUUUUGUUCAUAAACAUUAUAUAUUAUAUUAUUGUUGAACAUCAUAAGUUAUAUAUAUAUAUAUAUAUAUAUUUAAUAUAAGGACUUCAAUAUAUCUAUUAUAAUUAUUUGUUUUAUCAUUUUUAGAAGUUUUUUUUAAUUAAAGAGACAUAAAUAAAAAUAACAAAUGAGAAGAACACAAGAACUACAGUUUUGAAGGUACUUUAAAAAAAACCACUAAUCAGCUAAUACCAUAUAUAUAAUUUAUGGUCUCAUUACUUCAUACUUUGGUUUUAUUCUAUGAUUAUUUAUAUUAAAGAGCAUGUAUAUUGAAGUUAAAUUGAGAGAUGACGUGAACUUAAUGGGUUUGAGCCACCAUCUAUAGAUGGAUUGCAACAUGAUGUAGUGUCAUGACACAAUGAUAUGACGCAAUGGCUGCCGACAAGGCGUCAGCUACAACACUUCCCCAUUUAUUAAAUUAGAUAUAGAGAAGAUCGAUAAUGUUUAAAAAUAAUAAUAAUAGUAAAUGUCACAGCAUUUCUAUCCAUCUUUUUUCACACCUAUUGGUAAGGGUAGCAGCGUGGCUGACUCGACCUCAUCUGCCUGGUGGGCACCAGCGGACAAAGCUCCACUCGAUUACGAAGAACCAGCUGUAGUGUGAGCCUGUGCCUUUUCGUUUGGUCAUGGAGUGGAUCUUUCGACUUGGAAGGGAAAAAGGGAGGAAGGGAGGAGGACCCACAGUCCAGUGUCGUCGAAAUAUGGUCUAUAUGAGUUGCAUGUGUGGCACCCUUGCUCUAUAUUUUCACGUGGCAGAGAAUAUUUCCAGCGACUUCGAAGUUUGAAGUCGUUUUCCAAUCGUAUAUGGCAGCUGGGAAUGGUGGGUGCAUCUGACUCAUCUUUGAUGGGAUCUGCCGGGAAAGUAGUGUGGAUCCAAGAUUUAUUUAUAUAUAUAUAUAUAUUGAGUUACAAGCUUUGGUCCUGUUGGCUAACUUUCCUGCUAAGUUUAUAGAAAAUAGAUGGCUUUAAAUACGUUUUCUAGUUGUUUUUAUUUCUUUUUGGAUAAUUAAUUUAAAAAAUAUAUAUAAAAUUUACGAAAACAUUUCAAGUUCCUAAACAAACUUUUUUUCUAUAAAACAUUCUUUCAAAAAACCAUGAUGCCGUUUGGUAACGGUUUUUUAAAACAGUUUUGAAAAAUGGUUUUUUAGAAAAUUGUUAUUUGAAUUUUUGUAAAACAAAAAUUUGUUUUGGAAUCUAAAAUAUUUUUAAUCUAUUUUUAAUAUUUUUGAAAAAUAUUUUUUUAUGUCUAAAACUUUAUUUUUAAUCAUUAUACAUGUUUGUAUAAUUAUUUUUUUAAACGGUUCUUAAAAAAUAAAUGAAAACAAUUAAAAAAACUAAAAGAUGUUUUAUAAAAAUAUCAUAUUUUUCAUAUUUUUUGUUUUUGAGAAUAGAAAAUAGAAAAUAGAAAAUAGAAAACAGAUUUUUGGUUAUCAAAGGUAUUUUUCAAUUUUUUUUAUUUUAAAAAAUAAAAAAUUAUCCUAAAAAACAGGUAUCAUAUAGAACCUAUACUUUGUUUAAAAACAAAAUAACGAAGAAGAAAGAAGAGCAACUAUAAAGGUUUAUUUGAUUAAAAAAUUCAUUGAAAAUAAUGAUCUUCCUUCUUUGAAAAAACUGAAAUUAUAACUUCUUUUCAAUAAAAAUAUCUUUUAACAAUUUUUGAAUUUUUAUCCCUCAUUAAACAGUUUUUUUUUUUAUUUAUAGAAAGGGGUAAAAAUGUCAAAACAAGGUUAUAUAUGUAAUUUGCAGUACAUAAAAUUUAUUUAUUUUUCAACAUUUUCGCAUCCCUUAUAAUCAAAUAUUUCGAUGAAAAACUAUUUUUUGAACUUGAAAAUAAGUUUGAUAAUUCUUUGAUAGAAAAUUUAUUUUGAAAAUGCGACAUUUUUUUAGAAUAUAUUUUAAGUUAUAAACAAACUUAAUUGUUUUUGAAAAAAUUUAAAAAGAAGAUGAUUUUUUUUAUCCGACAUUAUAAUUAAAGUGAAGAAAAUAAUAUGAGAAAAAAGAGAGGAAAAUAUUAAGGGAAAAAUGAAGAGGAAAAAUAUGAGGGACAAAAAUAAAAAGAAAUUUUUUGUUUAGUUGAAUCAAGGAAAAACAAUAUUAAAUCAUUUAAAGAAAAUAUUCCUUGGUAUUACUUUCAUAGUUUUUUCUUUGGUAUAAAAAAAAAGAAAAAAAAACCAUUUUCCUUAACUCUUUUUUCAUACAUCCAAAUAUUAGAAAAUGAUUGCUUUUAGUUUUUUUUUUUUUUUUCAUUUCUUAUUAUUUUUCAAAAAUCAAACAUAAUUUUAGAUAAAUGUAAAAAAAAAAAAAGCAAAAUGUAUUAUAAGUUAUUUUAAAAAUCAAAUUUAUCCAUUAAAAUUCAUAUUAAAAAUAAAAUUUCAAAUAUUAAGGGUUUGUUUAAUUUGAUAAUUGUUUUCGAGAAUAGUUUUAUAUUUUUUAGAACAAAAAAAUUGGAAAACAUAUUUGGCAACCAAAAAACCAUUUUAUGUUUUAUGUUCCCAAAAUUAGAAAAUAUGAUAUUUUCAAAAAAUAUCUUUUAGUUAUUUUCAAUUAUUUGUAGUUGUUUUUGGAAAAUUGUUUAAAAAAAAUAAUUAUACAAACAUGUAUAAUAAUUAAAAAUAAAUCUCUAGAUAUAAAAAUUAUUUUUAAAACAUAUUUAAAAUAUUAAAAAUAAGUUAAAAACUUUUCAGGUUUUUAAACAGACUUUUAUUCUAGAAAACAUCAAAGAAUAGUUUUAAAAAAAAUUUCAAAACUGUUUUUAAAAACGGUUACAAAAUAAGGGCAUAAGCUUCUAACAUUAUGAGUACAUAAAGAGAUAGAGAAAACACUUUCCAUAUUUUAAAAGUCUUAUGAAUCUAAGAAAAUGCUAAAAAUAGGAGAAAAAAAAGUAAAGAAAAAAUGUAAAUUCUUUUAUUUAUUUAUUUUAUGGCAAAAAGUAAGAAUUAAAAUUAAAUAUAAUAAAAAUUAUUUAAAAUUUUAUAGAUAUUCAAAUACUAAUUUAUAUAUAUAUAUAUAAGAUAAGGGUAAAAAUAGAAAAAUAAGGCAUGUUUGGUAACUGUUCUGGGAAAUAGUUUUGAAAAAUAAUAUUUUGAAAACUGUUCUUUGAUAUUUUGUAGAAUAAAAGUAUGUUUGAAAACAUAAAAUUUUUUAAUAUUUUAAAAUAUGUUUUAAAAGUAAUUUUUAUAUCUAAUAUUUUUAUUUUUAAUCAUUCUAUAUGUUUGUAUAAUUAUUUUUUAAAAUAGUUCUCAGAAAACAAAUGAAAACAAUAAAAAACAAUCAAAAGAUGUUAUCUAAAAACACUCUUAAAAACAUAAAAUAGAAAAUAAUUUUUGGUUAUAAAACAUAUUUUCAUAGUUUUUUGUUUUGAAGAAUAGAAAACUAUUAUAAAAAAUAGUUAUCAAACAGAUCCAAGAAAUUAACGAUACUUCUUUAUCUUUUGAGUCGUUUUGCCAAAUUAGUCCCUUAAGACCUUUGGUUUUUGCCUAGACCGAUGAAAAAAAUGGGAUCACUUUUUAUGGACUUGUUGAAAAUGAUUCUAAUAUAGUUUAGAACCUAUUAGAAAUAAGAAGACGAUCUAGUGGGAUCCUCAUGAAUAGAAAAAGAUGAUAGUCAAUUUGAUAAUAAUGAUAUUACUUUUUUAGAACUAAGGAAUACCUCAUAUAAUGUUCAAAAAUUCAAAUUUACAUAAUAAAAACUUUAUGCAUAUUCCGAAAUAAUUUUAAAAAAUAGUUUUCAAUUAUUUUCAAGAAUAAAUUUGGAAACUCAAAUAAAAUAAUUUAAAAAACAUUUUUUUCUUGCAUGAUACAAUUUUAAAAGCAUUAUCUUUAUUUUAGUUGUAGUUAACAAUUUAUAAAAUAAUACAACUAAAAUACCUGAACUUUAAAAAAUAAUUCGCUUGGAGAGUAAUUAAUUUUUAAAAAAAAUAUAUAAAAAAGUGUUUUAAUUAGAAAAUUAUUUUCUAUUUCAGAUGGGGGUUUUAUGUACUUUCCUUCCUCUUUCUCUCCCAUUUCCCUACCUUUUUCUCAAACUUGUGGACAUCCAAGCAGAGCGUCUAUAUAAGGAGAUAUGACACAUCCCCUGAGAAUAUGGGGACACGUGAGAAGACAAAGACAAGGGAAGAAAAUGGGGGAGACGCUGGGGAAUUUGGGGUCUGUAAUGGCGACAUUGAUGUUCAUCUGGGCUAUGUUCCGGCAAUACUUCCCUUGCGACCACAUCGAAAAAUACUCCCACAAAUUGAUGAAGUUUUUCUACCCUCACAUCCAAAUCACUUUCGAUGAAUACGGCAGAGGUCAUUUCAUGCGCCAUGAAUUCUACACCGCCAUCGAUACCUACCUCAGCUCCAAUACCGCCGACCAAGCCAACCGCCUCAAAGCCAACACCGCCAAAAACAACCAGUCACUGGUUCUCACCAUUGAUGACGGUGAAGAGGUUGAAGAUGAGUUUGAGGGAGUGAAGCUGUGGUGGACUUCAAGGACGAUCACAGCCGAAACUCGGACCUCCCACUCCUAUGAGCAGCCGGAUGAGAAGAGGUACUACCGGCUGACUUUCCACAAGAAACACCGGGAUUUGAUCACCAAGAAGUACCUCAGUCAAGUUUUGACACAAGGGGAGGCGAUUAAGGUCAGAACCCGGCAGCGGAAGCUUUAUACCAACAGUUGGUCGAUGUGGAGCCAUGUGGUUUUUGAUCACCCUGCAACUUUUCAAACGCUUGCCAUGGAGGCUGAUAAGAAGAGGGAGGUGAUCGAGGACUUGGUUUCUUUCAGCCAGGCUAAGGAUUUCUACGCAAGAAUUGGGAAAGCUUGGAAGCGGGGUUACCUCCUUUAUGGCCCUCCUGGGACGGGAAAAUCUACCAUGAUUGCUGCCAUGGCGAAUCUGUUGCUGUACGACGUCUAUGAUCUUGAACUGACGGCGGUCAGUGACAACACCGUGCUGAGGAAGCUGCUGAUGCAGAUUCCGAGCAAGUCCAUCACUGUGAUUGAGGACAUCGACUGCUCCCUCAACUUGACGGGUCAGAGGAAGAAGAUGAAGGAGAACAAGGCGGCCGAGGAGGAAGAGAAGGGCCCCAUUAAAAAACAAGCGAAGGUAGGAGACUCUGAUGAAGGGAAAACCAGCAAGGUGACUCUCUCCGGGCUGUUGAACUUCAUUGACGGCCUUUGGUCGGCCUCCAAGGGGGAAAGGCUAAUAGUGUUCACGACGAACUACAUGGAGAAGCUCGACCCAGCUCUGAUUCGGCGAGGAAGGAUGGACAAGCACAUCGAAUUAUCAUACUGCAGCUUUGAAUCAUUCAAGGUGCUGGCUAAGAAUUAUCUGGAGCUUGAUUCCCACCACCUGUUCGACACGAUUGAGAGGCUGUUGGGGGAAAGUAAAGUGACCCCAGCUGAUGUUGCUGAGCAUUUGAUGCCUAAGACAAGUGUGGCUGAUGUUGAAACAAGCUUGAAGAGCCUGGUUCAGGCAUUGGAGAUGGCCAAGGAACAAGCAAUGUUGAAGGCCAAGGAAGAAGGCAAAGAGAAGGAGUCAUCUGCUAGGGAAGAAGAUUGACGAUCAUUGGCAAUAGAGACUAUGAUUGUGUUUAUCCUACUGAAUUAAUUCCUGGGAAUUAUGAAAUAUUGGUCAAGUUAAUAGUAUGGUAAUUGAGGUUAAUGGGAAAUGCAUAUGGUGACCAAUUCUGAAGAUCUUUUCUAGGGCUUAAGGGGGCUUNNNNNNNNNNNNNNNNNNNNNNNNNNNNNNNNNNNNNNNNNNNNNNNNNNNNNNNNNNNNNNNNNNNNNNNNNNNNNNNNNNNNNNNNNNNNNNNNNNNNGAAGGAUAAGAGAAAUGAGAGAUGAAGAUAUUGGGAGCAAAGGAUAAGAGAAAUGAAAAGAUGAAAGUUUGUGCCUAAUGAAUAUUUUUACAAUAUGAAGAUGAAUGCUGAUCACUCGUGUUAUGGAAAUGGAAGAUAUUAAUAAUAUAAAAGUUCUUCAAGCACGUUUGGUACUAAUUUUAAAAAACAUUUCUAAUAUUUUUAAUAUUUAAAAAAUAUUAUCAUUCAGGUGUUAAAAAAGUUAUAAACGUUUUUUUAUAAUUAUUUUCAAAGAUACUUUUCAUUUACUAAUAAUAAUAAAAAAGUGUUUUUCAACCGUCACAAUGAUACUUGGUUUGACUAUGCUUUUAGAAAAUAUUUAUAAUAUAAAUAAUAUUGCGGCUAUCAGAAAUAUGAGAGUAAUGAGAGAUGAAGAUAUUGGAAUGAAAGGAUAAGAGAAAUGAAAGGGGGAAAGUUUGUGCCUAAUAUAUUUUUACAACUGGAAGAUGAAUGUUGAUCACUUGUGUCAUGGAAAUGAAAGACAUUAGUAAUAUAAACAUUCUUCAAGCUCGUUUGAGAGUGAUUUUAAAAAACAUUUCUAACAUUUUUAAUAUUUAAAAUUUUUUAUCAUUCAAGUGUUAGAAGGGUUAGAAACGUUUUCUAUCAUUACUGUCAAACCUACUCUUCAUUUAUUAAUAGUAAAAAAAAAAGUGUUUUUCAAUAGUCCCAAUGAUACUUGGUUUAACUGUGCUUGUAGAAAAUAUUUAUAAUAUAACAUUUCUUAAGAAAUCAAACAUUUGAAAAUAUUAAUAUUUUGAAAGUAAGGUAAAUAUCUCUUUUUUUUUAACAUAUUUUUAUAAUAUAAUAAGGCCCAUGCUGUAUUAAAUAGUAAAGAAAUAAAAUUUAAUAAUUUAAACUUUUAAAAAAUGAAUUUUAACCAUAUUUAAUAAAAACUCAUAUUAAAAUAAUUUAUUUAAGUUGUUUCAUUCCAUAGGAAAAAAAAAAAAAAAGGGAAUUUAGCCAAGACUAUGGAUGCAACUUUGGAUGGUUGGUGUGAUCCAUCCAACAUAUGAGUAUGAUUGGACAAUUAUUUUCAAUACUCAAGUUGGGCUUAGGUUAGGUUUUUCUAUAUAUUAAUUUGAGCUCAUUUUGUUUAGAUUUUUUUUUUAAAAAUAUAUUAAGUUAUAUUAUGUCAAUUUUUUUUUCAUGUUUUUAGUAAAGAUAUAUAAAUUUAUUUUUGUUUUUAUUUUUGUUAUUAUCUUGAAAUUUUGUUACAUUUAUAAUCUGACCAAUCCGAACUUAAAUAAAUGAUGUUGGGUUGAAUACUAUGGAUUAGAGGGCAGAUUAGGUUGAGUUCAAUUUAAUUAUUUUUUAAUACGAGUUAGACUCAAGUUAACCAUCAAUCCAAUCAACUUACCCAAGUUGCAACCUUAGCCUAAACUAAUAUGCUUCCAAUAUAUAGUUUGGUAUUUUAUUAUUAUUAUUAUUAUUAUUAUUAUUAUGCAAACAUUUGGGAAAUUUCAAGGAAUAAAAAUAGAGAAUAAAUAAAAAUGAUUUAAGAAAAAAUGUCAAAAUGAAGAAGAAAUAUCAUGACUUACAUUCAUUUUUAUUUCAUAUUAGCUCGUUAGAAGGUAUCUAUAUAUAUAUAUAUAUAUAUAUAUAUAUAUAUAUAUAUAUAUAUAUAUAUAUAUAUAUAUAUAUAUUGAAAAGAAAAAACCUUUGUCAACUUUUCCCAUAAAAGAUUAUAGGAAAAAUUAUAUAUUUAUAACUUUUGUUGAUAGGAAAAGUUAUAAAAAAAACUUUUUUGCAUUUUUCAUUAAAUAUUUAUGGGUGGUGUGGGACCCAACUCCAGUCCAGGCAUAAAUCCAUUUCUUGUCCAAGUAUCAAACAAACAAAAGGAUAUUUGAGUAACGUCCAUAUUCAUUACACAAGUACUAAAUGUAUCGAACUGUUACAUUAGGAGUAAUCAUGAAUAUAGACAUCUGAUUUUAAGUUUAAAAGUUAUUAUUUGUAAGACCAAUUAUUGGCAUUUAAAGCAUUAAAGAGGCACAUAAAAUGUUACAACUUUGUUAGAAUGAAAGACCACUAGACAUUAAUUUUAGGUAUGAAUGAAUCUCCUUAAAAAAGUCAUAGCCCUUUUUUUUUUCUUCCAAAAACUAACUUAAGCUUUGGAAGAAUGUGCAUGGAAAUACCUUUUGGACACACCUUGUUGCAGGUAUGUUCGUCAUUUGCUCGAAGGAAGUUAGUUGAAAAAAAUAUUGUUGACUAUGCACCAACAAUUGGCAUUGUUUGUGGGAAACGAACGAAAAGCCUUAAAUGUAGAAGGCUAACGUACCUCUUGGAACAUUUCCCAUUCGACAUAUAUGGACAACCGAUUCCACACAUAGCAAACCAAAAUGGAGAGAAGGCAAGAAGAGUAUGAGCGGUGCAUGCAAUCGCUGUUUUAGCAUGCAAAGUAGUUGAAAUAGGAAAACAAAGAGUUAUGGGCGCAAAUAGCCUCAAGACAUCAUGUGAGUUAAAGGAGGCAUUGCACACCUAGCCGAACGACCUCGAAGCCAACACGAAGUUGGCUAUGUGCUUACAAGCAUAUAACUAAACUGCUAAAAGCGGAAAAACAAAGUCGAAUCUGGCUAUGUGCUCACACACACCUAACUAAACCACUAAAAGAGGAAGAACAAAAUUGAAUUCGGCUACGUGGUUACAAACACCUAACUAAAUAGCUAAAAAUGGAAGAACAAAGUUGAAUCCGACUACAUGCUUAUAAGCGCCUAACUAAACCGCUAAAAGCAGGAGAAUAAAGCCAAAUCCAACUAUGUGCUCACACACACCUAAUUAAACUACUAAAAGCUGAAGAAUAAAAUUGAAUUCGGCUACAUGGUUACAAACACCUAACUAAACGGCUGAAAAUGAAAAAACAAAGCUAAAUCCAACUACAUGCUCAUAAGCACCUAACCAAAUGGCUAAAAAUGGAAGAAUAAAGUUGGAUUCAUCUAUGUUCUUAUACACACCUAACUAAAAUAAUGAUUCAAUUACUAUGCUCAUUCUUCAAGAUGGAAGGUGGAGUGAGGAAGAUGUUUUUGUUUUAGUGCCUGUAACAUAAUUGCUAUAGUGAUGGUUUUUCAAGAUGGAAGGUGGGUGUGGUUCUACCAUUGCUUUUCUUGUUAUAUUAAUGAUAUUGAAUUGGCCAAAUUUUACUUAGGUUGUCUUGUUUUGAUUGGAAGUAUGCACCUAAUGGAGUCACUGCUUAUUCUGCCCUAACCAAGAGAGUCACUUACAAGGCAAGACGAUAAAAAUAUAACAUCUUUAAUAUAUAGUUGCUAGCUUGUUUCUUUAUCAAUUUUGAUUUCAUUUUAUUCUUGUUUUAUUUAGGUCUUGAUUGUGACGAAAAAUUUAUGCCUAUGUUCUAUUGUUAUGGAGAUGAUCAUUGAGACCACACAAAGGUUCUAUUGUAGACCCUCCAUUUUGUCCCCUUAGUACAUGUUCUAUUAGGAGUUUAGUUCAAUACAUCAUAGCAACUUCUUGGUGGCCCAUUACUACUAAUUCAGUUUGCCUUUUUCAAGCCACCUCAGAGACUUUGGUUGAGGGAUUUAUUUGGCUCUAACCCUUGACAAUCUUGAAUUAGACUUAGAAUUUUCCUUCCUUUUUAAGAUAACUCUUUUAGGUACAUUUUUUAGGACACUUAGUUCGCCCUAGGUCACUUAAACACUUUUAGACUCACUUCUUUUUGUGCAUGACUUGCAUGGUUGCAUGACUUACAUGACUUGUGUGACUUUUUUUUAAUUUUAUUUAUCAUUUUUGUUUCAUUUUAUUUUAUGUUAUUAUAUUAUAAGGUUUCUAGCUCAUAUUUAUUGGAUUUUUGCACGAGGAAACUGGUUGCCAUCUAUUUGGAAGGAGAAUCACUAGAAAUUUCAAGAAAGGAAAGUGGCUGAGAUUUUCAUUUUUUUUAGUGGAAAAAUAAGAGCGACCAAAUUUUCCUUGAGAAGAAAGAGAAAGUGGCAGAUUUUUCACAUGAAAAAAAAGUAGCAGAUUUAUUGAGGAGCUGGAAUUCUUUUCUAUGGAAGGAAAAGGUGGCAGAAUUUUGGAGGGAAAAAGGAAAGUAACAAAUGUUGUUAUAUAGAGAGGCACGUCUUCAAAAGGACCAGGUGAGAUUCCAGGCUGGGAGGAUAGCAAAGGAGAAAGAGGUUGUUCUGGUUUUGGUUUUUAUUAUAGAGAGAAGAGGAUGACGAGAGAGGGACAUAGGAUGAUAGACCAUUAAGAGACAACUGCAAAAAAAAAGGGGGACAAAGGCACCAAUACGGGUAGCAGACAUGAUCAGCACACACUAGGAGAGAACUGGGCAGAAAAGCGAGAAUCAGAGGAGCAUUUUUCGGUAUGGCUGCUCUACGCUCUCUGUUUUCUUGAUCAUCGUAUAAUUCUUCAUAUUUUCUUUCAAUUUAUGGGCAUUGCGUCUUUGCUUUAGGUAUGGAUAUCAGGCUGUAUGUUUGUUUUUAAUUAAGUUCUAGGCUGAUCAUAGAUUUUAAUAUUGCUGAUUUAUUUGUCCUUAUAGCCCUGUUUGUGGGUAAUUUGGUUUGCUCUAAUUUGCUACAUAUCAUAAGUCUUGCUACUGGUGCUUUUCUCCUUUAACUAUAUUUGAUGUCCCACUUGGUUUUCAAGCCCAUUUAAGGAGCAUGAAAUGUGGCUUAUUCUGAUUACCCACCCAUUGUCUUCCUUUCCCCUGUUUUUUUUUUUCUUGGUUUCUUUUUCUAUGCUUCUAUAUCUACGUUUCUUCCUUUUCUUUAUUUUGGUGCUCUCGGCUAUGAAGAUCAUAAUGGGUUUGAGUAUUCCAAGAAAGGUGGAAACUUUAUAAAGGCUGUGUACAGUGGGGAUUGCGUGGAGCUAGAUAGGUGCAGAGGUUGCCACGGUUUCUAGGAGCUCUUUGUGACUUUCUGGAUUGGAUGUUGGUAGAUUUAAACUAUGAAGAUAUCCCUCUGGUAUUUAUGUUGUUUGCAUGAUUGAUGAAAGAAUAUACUCUUUUUUUUGGGUUUUGUGUCAUGAAAAGAGCAUGGGGUCAUCUCCACACUAGAAAGUUUCUCACUGAGUACUUGCAGCAAGGGAUCAGAUCAUGGUUCUUGCUCCUGGCGGGAUCUGGAAUGUUUUGAGUAAUGAAAUGGUUGAAACCGGGUUGAGACUAAAUCUGGCAGUUUAUGGUAAGAUGGUUGAUGUGUUAUGAGAGUUGGCCUUUCAAAUAUUUGAUGCUCCAAGCGGCCUGAGAUAGAAUCUGGGAGACCUGGUUUUUCUUCAGUUUCCACUUCAAACUUGUCUUUAAUGAAGGAUGGAAGCGUGAUAUCACCAAGAAUGGUCCUAAAGCUAUUAGGUAAGGGUCUGUCACUGUUGGUUCACCUGUACUGCAUUGGGGACAAGGGCGUAAUCUCUCUAGAUGGAUGAACUUUCAGUGCUUUGUUACUAUUAGAGAUGACUCAAUUGUUAUUAGGUCACUGGACGAGAAGAAAGGGGCUUGGGUAUCCACUCAGGAGUGAUUCUUCAUUUGGUUCUUCUCUGUCUCAUACUACAACAGAUUCAUAUUUAAAUUACAGUGGAGUCAGAAAAGUUAAAGUGAAUAAAGCCAGGGGCUCUGACAAUGGUAUACUUAAGGAAUGGGGCACUUCUACAAUAGGGAAGGCUACAGUGUUUUUUUUUCAGUUGGUACAGCCUGACAUAAGAGUGAUUACAGCAACAUUUUACUGGUCCUUGUUUAUAAUAAUGGUAAUCAGAAAAUCAUUCCAAUGGGUGCUUACCUUAAUAAGGCAACGUCCAGUUUUGGCUCAAUAAGUUCUAUCUCCAACUAGGAGACUGCCAGUUCUAUAUCAAUGGGUCACACCCAUCACGCAGUGGAUAGGAGUCUGCCGUAUUAACCCCAAGCUUUUUGGCUUUAGUAUUGUUUUUUAGGAAAAGUUUCCUUCAGCAGGCCCCUCAAUCACGGCAUAACAGACAGAGAUGGCAUUUCUAAAGCAAUUUCAAUGUCCUCCCAACAGUCCUUUGAGUUUGGGAAUUCUUGGUAACAGUCAUCAUGCAUGGAGAAUCCUCACCCUUCACAUGAGAAAUUGCUUUAGCUGAUGAAUAAUGCCUUCAUUGUCAUCUACCGAACAAAGAGAACCUCUCAAGGUGAACCUCAAGAAUUGCAAGUUAAGCCAAUGCCCCUUGUUCAAAAAGAAGAUCAAAUUCAUGAGGUCCCUGCUAAAUGAACUUUUUGUUGAUCCUGAGAUUGAAAAAGCUGUGAGAACUGCAGUCCUUUUGUCUGGUUCCCCUCCCGACAGCCCACAUCAAGAAGCUAAAGGUCUCAAUAGUGAAGGAUCUAACCACAAUUUCUCAAAGAAUGUAGACUCAGGUGGUCAUGAAAGUGACAUCCCUUCCUCUGUUGGCUUCUCAACCUUCAGAUAUUUUCGUUUACGGAAAUUGUGUGAUAAUUGGCUAUGGAUUGAUUAUAUAAUUGAAGUUUCACUAAUCCACCCUAAUAAGAAUGUUGAAAAUGUUAAAGAAUUUUUAGACACAAACAUCCAGCAAGCUAUUGAAGGUUCUUCUGGCAUAAAAUAUUCCUGAGGUUGGUUUACUCGGUGGAUUUGUAGAUAUUGGAAUGAACAUAAAAAGAAUGGUGGAUGAGAUAUUGCAGUCUGUUCGUAUAUUGGCUCACGAUCACUGUAAGUGUCAUGUCAUACAGCAUGUUCCAGAAUCUGGGAAAGUCCCAUACGAAAAAGGCCCCUCUAUCUUUCCAGACCCAUGGAUGUGUUGGAAAAAGGGGAUGAAUGAAAUUAAGUAAAUCCAUUGAAUUAAGUAAAUUCAUUCAUUUUUCCAGAAUUCUAAGAGUCUCAAGAAGCCAAAUUCAUUUUGGCUUUCUGAACCUGUUUGUGUUCUUCCCUCCUUGAAGUCUAUAAAUAGUGGUAGACUUUCUUUCAAAAAAAAAAGUACAGAAAAACUUUGGAGUAUUGUCAGAGUGUUGAAUAGUUCCUUUCUUCCGUGUCCGUGAUAGAGUUGAACAAUUUCCAGUUCGCCGGAGUAGCUGCAGAGUGUUGUUGCUGCCAUUCGAAGAUCGUUUUAUCCUGGGAGACAGACGCCUUGCGAUUCUCAAAGCACCUGUGGAGAAGACGAAUCUGUUUUAAGGAGAUUGUGUUUUCCACAAGACUCGGUCUAAUCUUCUUCCUUAAUUCUCUGUUUUUUUUUUCUUCAGUUUUCUUUUAUUUUCUUAUGAACUAACCAGUGUGUGCAGUGUGGUUGUCUAACAUUCUUAAAACAUAUUUUUUUCAAAGGAAAACCAGUGGUUGGUGAAAAGGAAACAAGUUAUCAGGAAGAAGAAGAAGAAGAAGAAAAAAAAAACCAGUGGGAAAAAAAAAACCUGUAAGUUUUUGGAAAAGAAAAAAAAAAAAAAACAAAAGAUAAUUUUUGAAAAAAAAAAAAAUUUGCAAGUUUUUUUGAAAAAAAAAAAAAAAAGGAAAAAAGAAAUUGACACAUUUUCUUGGAUGUUUCAGGAAAAUGACAACUGAAUCCGAUAACGUUGUUGUAACUGAAUUAGCCCCAGUGGCAACCCCUACUGUGGCCCAAGUGCCAGCGAUGCCUACUGUUGUACCAAUCUCUGUCUCACCAGGAGAAAAACCAGAGAAGUUCAGUGGACUAAAUUUUAAAAGGUGGCAACAAAAGAUGUUAUUCUAUUUGACCACGUUGAAUCUUGCAAGAUUCUUGACUGAGGAUGCUCCUAAGCUCAAAGAAGACGAGCACGAUAUCCAAGUCAUCAGUGCUAUAGAUGCUUGGAAACAUUCUGACUUCUUGUGUAGAAAUUAUGUCAUGAAUGGUUUAGCUGAUUCGUUGUACAAUGUUUAUUCUGACAAGAAAACAGCUAAGGAGCUAUGGGAAUCUCUAGAUCGGAAAUAUAAAACUGAGGAUGUCGGGGCUAAGAAAUUUGUUGUGGGUCGCUUCCUCGACUAUAAGAUGGUAGAUUCCAAGACUGUGGUAAGUCAAGUCCAAGAACUUCAAGUAAUCUUGCAUGAGAUACAUGCUGAGGGAAUGAUGUUGAGUGAAACUUUCCAAGUAGCAGCUAUUAUUAAGAAACUACCCCCUGCUUGGAAAGAUUUUAAGAAUUACCUCAAGCACAAAAGAAAGGAAAUGAGCAUCGAGGAUCUAAUUAUUAGACUUCGCAUUGAAGAAGAUAAUAGAAGAUCUGAAAAGAAAAGGGCGCACACUCUAAAUGAGGCUAAGGCUAACUUUGUGGAACAUGGUCAAAGUUCCAAGGCAAAGACGAACAACAACAAAGGGAAAGGAUCUAAGUUGGGACCUAAAGGAGGGAUCUCAAAGAAGCCGAAAUUUCAAGGGAAAUGCUUCAAUUGUGGUAAGCAAGGUCACAAGUCUGUUGAUUGUAGACUGCCUAAAAAGAAUAAACCUAAGGAAGCUAAUGUGAUUGACGACAUCACUAAAAAUGUUUCUGACAUUGACCUCACAGCAGUAGUCUCUGAGGUGAACUUGGUGGGUUCUAACCCAAAGGAAUGAUGGAUUGAUACUGGUGCUACUUGCCAUGUAUGCUCUGAUAAGAAAAUGUUCUCCACUUUUGAACCAAUUGAGAAUGGGGAAAAAGUGUUCAUGGGGAACUCUGCCACCUCUGAGAUCAAUGGUCAAGGUAAAGUAAUCUUGAAGAUUACUUCUGGGAAAGAGUUGACUCUGACCAAUGUUUUAUAUGUACCGGAAAUUUGCAAGAACUUGGUGUCUGGUUCAUUGCUGAAUAAUCAUGGAUUUCGGUUGGUCUUUGAGUCAAACAAAUUUGUUUUGUCCAAGAGUGGAAUGUAUGUUGGGAAAGGGUAUAUGAGUGAUGGAAUGUGGAAACUCAAUGUAAUGACUAUUAUUAAGUCAAAUAUGAAUAAAGCUAGUACUUCUACUUACAUGCUUGAGUCUUCUAAUCUAUGGCAUGGUAGAUUAGGACAUGUUAAUUAUGAUACAUUACGUAGAUUAAUUAACUUAAAUCAUAUACCAACAUUCCAAAUUAAUUCCAACCAUAAAUGUGAAACUUGUGUUGAGGCAAAACUAACAAGGUCAUCUUUUCAAAGUGUUGAAAGAAACACUGAACCCCUUGAUUUGAUCCAUAGUGAUAUCUGUGAUUUGAAAUUUGUACAAACAAGAGGUGGUAAUAAAUAUUUUAUUACUUUUGUUGACGAUAGCACCAAAUACUGUUAUGUGUAUUUACUAAAAAGCAAGGAUGAAGCUAUAGAGAAAUUUGUUCUCUAUAAAAACGAAGUUGAGAAUCAACUCAACAAGAAAAUUAAGGUACUAAGAAGUGAUCGAGGUGGUGAGUAUGAAUCGCCAUUUGUUGACAUUUGUGCUCAACAUGGGAUUAUACACGAAACAACAGCACCUUAUUCGCCUCAAUCCAAUGGAGUGGCUGAGCGAAAGAAUCGUACCUUAAAGGAAAUGAUGAAUGCAAUGUUAAUAAGUUCUAGUUUGCCACAAAACAUGUGGGGAGAAGCCAUUUUAACUGCUAAUUACCUUUUGAAUAAGGUACCCAAAAAGAAAGCAGAAAAGACUCCAUAUGAGUUAUGGAAAGGAAGAAAGCCAUCCUACACAUACUUACGAAUGUGGGGAUGUCUUGCUAAAGUGGCAGUUCUUCCACCUAAAAAGGUGAAAAUAGGACCUAAGACUAUUGAUUGCAUUUUCAUUGGCUAUGCACAUAAUAGUAAUGCUUAUCGGUUUCUUGUUUAUGAAUCAAAUAUCCUAGAUAUUCAUAAGAACACGAUAAUGGAAUCAAGGAAUGCAUCAUUCUUUGAAGAUGUAUUUCCAUAUAAAUCUAAAGAGGAGUCAAGUUAAUCAAAACAAAUGCUUGAGACUAUUAAUGAAAAUAGUCAACAUCAAAAUAAAGAAGUUGAGGUAGAACCUAGACAUAGCAAAAGGGCAAGGACAGAGAAAUCUUUUGGUCUAGAUUUUCUUACUUUUAUUCUUGAAGGCGAACCUCAAACUUUUAAAGAGGCAGUGAACUCUACAGAAGGUCUUAUGUGGAAAAAGGCCAUUAAGAGUGAAAUUGAUUCCAUAUUGCAAAACCAUACUUGGGAACUAGUGGAUCUUCCACCAGGUUGUAAACCUUUAAGUUCCAAGUGGAUUUUCAAGAGAAAGAUGAAAGUAGAUGGAUCAAUUGACAAGUAUAAAGCAAGACUUGUAAUCAAAGGCUACAGACAAACUGAAGGCCUAGAUUAUUUUGACACAUAUUCUCCUGUGACGAGAAUAAAUUCCAUAAGGAUGGUACUUGCAAUUGCUGCAUUGAGAAAUCUUGAAAUACAUCAAAUGGAUGUAAAAACAGCCUUUCUAAAUGGAGAUUUAGAUGAAGAAAUCUAUAUGGAGCAACUUGAGGGUUUUUCAACUCCAGGACAAGAAAAGAAAGUUUGUAAACUGGUGAAAUCUUUGUAUGGCUUAAAACAAGCACCGAAACAAUGGCAUGAAAAAUUUGACAAUGUUAUGCUGUCACAUGGCUUCAAAAUCAAUGAAUGUGACAAGUGUGUUUAUGUCAAGGAUACAGAACAUGGAUAUGUCAUUGUAUGUUUGUAUGUAGAUGACAUGCUUAUUGUUGGGUAGUGAUGNNNNNNNNNNNNNNNNNNNNNNNNNNNNNNNNNNNNNNNNNNNNNNNNNNNNNNNNNNNNNNNNNNNNNNNNNNNNNNNNNNNNNNNNNNNNNNNNNNNNUAGGGCACAAUUCUUAUUAAACUCUUACAGAACCAGGCGUAUGUUCAUGGCCAAAAUGAACAUAAAAGUGAGAACUGAAAUAUGUUAGGAAGAUUCCUGUGUGAGAUAUGUCAUCAUCUACAUAAAUGGCAGAACAGUUCAAGGACAUCGUGUCUACUGUUUAGCUAGUAGAGUAAACAUAUUUCUACAAGGGAAGGUUCAAAGGGUAACACCUACCUCUCCUAUGCAGGUUUCAACCGUUGUACUCUAUCACAAAGUUCAUCGUGUCUUAAUUUCUUUCAUGUGGGGAAUUGUUGGAAAAAGGGGAUGAAUGAAAUUAAGUAAAUCCAUUGAAUUAAGUAAAUUCAUUCAUUUUUCCAGAAUUCUAAGAGUCUCAAGAAGCCAAAUUCAUUUUGGCUUUCUGAACCUGUCUGUGUUCUUCCUUCCUUGAAGUCUAUAAAUAGUGGUCACUACUACAAAAAUAAUAUAUGAUGUCACUAUUUAUGGUGUCGCAUUUAAAAUAAUGACAUCAUUGAACUUAAAAUUUAUAAAGGUGACACAUCAUAUAAAAAAUCUUCAAUUAAGAUAGUUAGAUGAUGCUAAUUUCAGAUUUACGGUGUCAUUUUUUGGAAGUGACACCAUAUGAAAUAAAAAGUUUUAAAUUUUAUAACUUAAUGGGCCCUUUUUAAAAAUAGUGAGUAGGAACAAUUUAUGAAAAGUCCAUUGUUUCCAUAUAUACAUUAACUAAUAUAAAAGAUCUUAUUGCUUAACCCUAACCAUCGUUUUCUUCUCCUUCUUCUCACACCCAUGGUCGGCACACCCAUAAUUGAUAUUCUUUGCUUCGUAAAAUCUCGAGUAAGUCAAAAUCUCUUAUCUACCAUCUUCAUUUUUUUUAUUAAUGCAAAAAACUUUGUUAGUAUAAUUGUUUUAUAUCUCUUGAUUUAGUAUAUCUAUGAUGUGGGUUUUGUAAAUGGUGUUUUUUAUCGAGUUCCAGGGAAGUAAAAACUAGGUUUAACAUUCUAACAUAUUUUUUGUUUCAUUGCUAAUAAGCCCCAAAACAAAUGAAAACAAGAAAAAUGAAUUAUUUUUUAAAAUUUUGUCUAAUUGAGAAUGAGAGAUACACUAAUUUGUAGUAAUUUUUCACAUGAAAUAGUAUUUUAUUGAAGACUUGACUAUAUUUGAUACUUUUUUCCACCGUGCUAGGAGCUUUUUGGUGAAGUCUAACAAUAGAGAUUGACAUCUACUACAAGAUGAUACUCAAUUAAUCCAAAAGCACUUAAGUUAUUUAGGGUUUUCUUCGGUUAACCUAAGAAAACAUUCCCACUUUCUUUGUAUUGAGUCACCUAAAUAGAAUAAAAUAUUGGGUAUCAGAGUCGUAAAGGGUAUUAUAAAUAUGACUUUUUUUUUUUAGAGUCACCUACAUGGAAUGAAUUAUUGGUAGGUGAACAAAAUAUUGGGGUGAUUGUAAUAGUUGAAUUAGUAAAUGGAAGAUAAGUGUAUGUUGCUUUGUUUAUUCUAUAAAAACAAUAAUUUUAGUAGUUGAAAUUUACAUGCUUUGUUGUUUUAUAAAAACAAUAAUUUUAGUAUUUGAAAUUUUAAAAUGUGAAUGAAAUGCCUGAAAAUAUGUUUUCAAAAAUAGGAUAGUAAUAAAUGGAAAAUAACUCAUUUCCUAAAAAUAUUUUGAUAAAUUAAAAUAAUAUGUGGUUAAAAUAUAUUUUUGUGAAAGUAUUUAAAAAUGAAUCAAAAUAUUAAUAAUUGUUAUUUUGUUUGAAAAUAAUUUAGGAAUAUAAAAUAAUAUUGGGGAUAAUUUUUGAGUUUAAAUUGGGUUAUAAAUGGUUAAUUUUUUUAGGACUUUCCUUUUUGAAAAUAAUCCAAUGAUAAUUUUUUUUAAAUAAGAAUGUUGAAAAUAAUUUUAAAAAUAAAAUUUUGUUGGUAAUGAUUUUUCUAAAAGUAUUUUAGGCAUAAAUGGAAAUUUCUUGUAUGAAAAUAAGAGAAUUUAUAUACAUAAAAAUAGACUUCUUUGAUAUUUAAUAAACAAGUGAAUUUUUCUCUAAAAAAAGAAUAAAAUAAGAAUUUCUCUAUAUAAUAAAAUAAUUUAUAUAUGAGAUAGUUUUCAAUAAGAAAGUUUUGAAAAUAAAUUUGGGACAAAAUAUUUUUUAGUAAGUUUUGUUUAGAUAAUUCAAGAAUAAAGUGGUUUAUUAACUUUUCUUAAAAAAUAACAUUCUUCUUUCUUUUUUGAAUUGAUCAAUUUUUUUAGAAAUAAAAUUGUUAGAUUCUAUUUUUUGUAAAUGUUUAAGAAAUUCUAAAAAAUUCUUUAAAAAUGAAAUGACCUUUCUACCACAUUCCUUGUAAUAAAUAAUUGUUUUUUUUUAUACAUAUUGUAAAGUAAAAAAAAAGUCUUUGUUUAGUUAACCUAAGAAGACAUUCCUACUUUUCUUUGCGUUGAGAGUCACCUAAAUGGAAUAAAAUAUUCAAUAUCCUAGGAGAGUAAAAAGUAUUGUAGAAAUGAUUUUGUUGAGAGAGUUAUCUAAAUGGAAUGAGAUAUUGGUAGGUGAAUAAAAUAUUAUGGUGAUUGUAAUAGUUGACUUAGUGAGUGGAGGAGAAGUGUAUGCUUCUUUGUUUAUUCUAUAAAAACAAUAAUUUUAGUAGUUGAAAACGUGUAUGAAAUGACUGAAAAUAUUUUUUGAAAAAUAAGAAAAUAAUAAAUGGAUAAUAGCUCAUUUCCUAAAAAUCUUUUGAUAAAUUAAAAUAACUUGUAGUUAAAAUAUAUUCUUAUGAAAGUAUUUAAAAAUGAACCAAUAUAUUAAUAAUUGUUAUUUUGUUUAAAAAUAAUUUAAUAGUAAAAAAAUAAUACUAAGUUUAAAUAUGACUACUUUGUUAUGAGAUUCAUUAAAGAAAUAAUUGUUGAUUUUACAGUUAUUGCAUCAAAGGUUUUACUCGUUUAAUGAAUUGUACAUAAUUUCAUACUUUCAAUUAUUGUGAUAUUAAUGUUAUUCUCGAUCAUUUGAUUUCAGUUUGAUGACAAAUAAAACAUAUUCUCAAGUAGAAUUUGAUGAAAUUAGAGAUUACUUUUGUGUUAUAACUAAUCAUGAAUCAUAUUGAUGUAUUGUGAUCAUUCAUGGUAAGUCCCUUAGUUGUUAUAUGAAUGAAUUUUCCAUUGAUAUUGUAUAACAUUACUUAUUCUUUACGAACUAUUUUUAUACCAAAUGAGAAAAAGGAAAAAGAAAAAGAAAACAUUAGUACUUAGAUUUGUUUAUUGUUUAUAGCAUCACAUUUUUAUUUUCAAUAAGAACUCUAAAACUCAUUAAACUAUGAAAUGCAGGUAUACACUCUUGGGAGGACAAUAUGAAGAAUAAAAAGAAAGGAGAAAGAGGCAACAAGAUUUAGGUUUUUAGAUAUGACUCUUAUGUCAUACAUUAUAGGACAUAAAUGUUACUUUAUUUGGAAUUGAGAAUUUUGGGUUUUUGAAUGCAACUCUUGUGUCAUUUUAUGGUUAGCCGGUUUUAUGCAUAUGAAAUGCAAGUAUACAUGAAUGUUGGGAAGCUUAACAUUUCUAAAUCAUGUUUUAAUGUGUAUUCACUUUUCUUUUUUAGUUUUGGUGGGUUUGAUGUAUUUGAUGUACUAUCAUUUUGUGAACAUUUGAUAUACAAAUAUUAUUGGAUGAUGUAAUAUGUUACAAAUUAAUUCAUAAGCAUUAUGAAAAUAUAAGUUAAAUGUAAUAUGAUUAUUAUAUUUAUGGACAAUUUACACAGGUUAGUCUUAUUUAUUAAUAAGCAUUACAAAAAUCUACAAACUAAUCAACAAAAAACAACCAUAUCUUCCAUAAUCAUUUACAAUGAUGUGACACCAUAAAUUAAAGGUGAUACAUUUAACGUGACACCAUAACUUAAAGAUGAUGCAUUUAAUAUGACACCUUAUAUAUCUCAUACAACUCUAUAUAAAAUUAAGCAUCACUAAAAAUAUAUGGUGUCUCUUCUGAAUGUGUCACCAUUUAUCUGCUUUGGUGUCGCUUUCAAAUACGUCACCAAUUGAUACCCUCUAUGGUGUCAGUGGAUAAAGUGACGCUAUGUUGUAAUGACACCCUAUGUUUAUAGUGACUUAUUAUAAAUGUCACCAUAUAUCUUUUUCCUUGUAGUGGGUAGACUUUCUUUCAAAAAAAAAGUACAGAAAAACUUUGGAGUAUUGUCAGAGUGUUGAAGAGUUCCUUCCUUCCGUGUCCGUGAUAGAGUUGAACAAUUUCCAGUUCGCCGGAGUGGCUGCAGAGUGUUGUUGCUGCCAUUCGAAGAUCGUUUUAUCCUGGGAGACAAACGCCUUGCGAUUCUCAAAGCACCUGUGGAGAAGGCGAAUCUGUUUUAAGGAGAUUGUGUUUUCCACAAGACUCGGUCUAAUCUUCUUCCUUAAUUCUUUGUUUUUUUUUUUUUUUUCAGUUUUCUUUUAUUUUCUUAUGAACUAACCAGUGUGUGCAGUGUGGUUGUCUAACAGGAUACUGAUCUAACAUCUCGCAGCAGAAUUCCUUCGACAUUUGCUGAAGUAGAAUGAAUUUCCUAUUUUGAUAAAGUCGAGUAUCUUUCCCGGCAUCUUGUUGACAAGGGUUUCGCUAAUUUGGGACUCAUAUACCGUAUUAACUAUGAACAAGACCCUCAUCAUGUGGAGGAAAUCUAAAGCACUUUCUUGUGGUCAUAAUAAGCUCGCGGGCUGGUUCUUUGAUAAGGAGCUAGCGCAACUUUCUGACUGUUCUGUAUAUCGGUUUCAUUGCUGCUCACACAUACUCGAAAUGCCAUAAUCAGCUCAUGCAUUGUUUGAUUCCGAUGACUCGCAGCAAGAUGUGUUGGGGCCUUCUUCAUCCAACUUUAAAUUGAAUCUCGAGCUGCUCUUCUUCACUACCAGCAGAGUUUCGAGACUUCCGAAUCACCUACCGUCAUUGUCCAGAAUUAGGUGGAUCAAGGGUUUAUUAUGUUUUUGAUGAGAAUGAGCAGUUCAGGGAAGACAAAUUUUGUGAAGUUCAGGACUGCAUCAUUUUGAGGGGAGUUGCAAUACUCUCACUUUCCCGAGAAUGUAUGCGACCAUUUUCUUCCUGAGCUGAUGAACUUUUUUUCGAUAUAUGGGGCGAUUAAUAGGACUUUGUCCAAAGACAACCUUAUCCUUGUGGAAAAAGACUUUCUUUUUUGAAAUCCAUAUUCAUCUUCAAGAACAGCACUCAGGGAUGAGCAACGAGAAGCUUAAAUGUUCAGGAAAAUGGCCCUGACAAGUCAGAUAUGGAGAUUCCAGAAGUGAAGAGAAUUCAUAAGGAUGCAGCAGGCUGAAAAUAUUGAAGAGGCAGAAAAGGUAUCCAUCAUUCUUCGAAAAGGCAAUAGAAUUUUGCUUCAGCAAAAGAAAUUCAAGAGCUGGGAAAUCAAACUACAGCUAAUAUUGUGAAACAUAUUGGUCUUGGAGCAAUAGGGUUCGGAACAAGAAAGGGGACUUUAUACUUGCAGAAGUUGAAAUUGAUCAAGCUGUCCUCUGUCAUCAAGAGAAUCAUCAGUUUGCUCUUGAUGAAUAAAUUGGAAUCAUAGACAGGUUUUGUUCUUUUGUUCGGCAAAGAGAUCAAGUGCUUCAGAAUUUUGAAACUGUUGUUACAAUAUGUUAUUAUGGAGCUGUUCUCAUUCUUUUAAGAGAGCUUUUACAGAAGAGGAUUCAUUUGAAGACCAGUACAAAGACCCAGUCAUCAUCCCAUGUCUCUAGUGAUGUGUCGGACAGUUGCAGCCAAGACCAUCUUUCAGAUGCGGCAGCUCCAUAUUGAGAAUAGACAGUAGGGUCUAGUUGCGGGGGUCACAUUUCCGUAGAUGCAUCCCGCAAUCAGUACAACUUUUGAGGUGCAUAGGUGUCUACGCUGUUGACAUGAAAGACAUGCGUACCCAACCCAAGGAUAAAACAAGUGGAAAGAUAAUCCACAAACAGGUUGGUCUGCUUAUAUUAUGUGGAGGCAAGAAUUAUCAUCCCAAGAAGAGACCCAAGAUUCCAUUAAUGCUAUGAAGGCUUAAAAAAACCUGUUAUUGAUGGCUUAUGCGUUGAGGAGAUGAAAAAAAUGGGAAAGAGAAGACUGGCUGUUUCCAUUUCGAUGAGACUUUCCAAAACUAGUUGUUAUGGUAUAAAGCUGAAUUCGAUAAGCUAAGUUCAUAAGUUUGAAUCCAAAUGCAGCGGAAUAGGUGGCAUCCGCCCUUGAGACGUAAAUGCGUUAACAAGGUUCACUCCUUUUGGGACGUUUGAUUCAAUCCGUCUUCGUCCUUGCCUCAUGUUUGAAUGCUGAGAAAUGUGAUUUUUGUGACCUCAUUGCAACUAAUGCUUCUUCUUGAAUCAGACAAGGGAAACUGAAGAAUAAAUUAAUCCCCUGCACCCAGUGAUUUUUGCUUAUGGAUGUGAGAACAAUGAACUUCAUAAUUCUAAUUCUAGGCCUGGUAAAGCUGACUCCAGUUCUUCUAAGGUCAAAGAAGAAAAACUGAAGAGUGAGAGCCUGGUGCAAAACAAGGUUGAUUUCGAAUAGGGGAACUACGGAAAGACGAGGAAGCUCCCAAAGAAUUGGUACUCCUACUUCAUAAGACGAAUAAGAUACAAACAGAAGAUGCUGCCCCAAGCUCUGUUUCGGCACAUACUGAAGGUACUGGACCACAUGUUGCACUUCCAAAGCUCUCAACAAAGCCACUCCUGUGAAUCUUGCUUAGCAUGCCUAUGGGAAACCUUGGUGAAUCAUCGCGUUGUGCCAGCAAUCAGAACGCGAAUUUCCAAAAUGCCCAAAGAGAGAAAGAUAUGGAUUUAAUGAAGCACGAAAUUUGGUUUCUAUGUGCCCUUUUUUUUUUUUUUCUUUUUUUGUUCUUUUGGGAAUGAGUUGCAUCCAAAGAAGCUAACAAGUCAUCAGUUUUGAUGUGAGAAGGCUAGACAAAACAGCACAAAAUGAGGUCGGAACCGAUGCAUUCUUGCAGUUAGAGAAAAUGCUGAUGAAAUAGAAUUUCCAGAUUGCAGAAUGCCUUUCAAAGUUCGGGAUUCUACAGUAGCAGAAGUCUUUGGGCAGUCUUCUUAACCCUUUCAUCAACAAAAUUGCAGCAACAAUUUCCUCAGCCAGAGUAAAACUUGUCAGACUAAAAUGCUUGGAUGGAGACUUGAAAUUUUUUACUUGGGUACGAAAGAGGGCAGAAUGCAAUUAAGGAUCCAGUACAUUCACAGUGCCCACUUCAGACCUCACUUCAACAUAGCCAUCUUGGUGCACACCCUCCUCUCUAAUUUUGUUUCUUUGAUUGAGAAUUUAUAGUUUUGAAUUGAUUUUUUUAAAUCCAGUUUCAACUAAUAAUCCUCAAUUUUUAAACCCCAUCCUUAGACUUGUUAGGCAUUAAAAUCCUUAUUUUUAAUAAACCUUGUGUUGCCAUUUUCCUUUUGGUACACAUUUUUCACGGUUUUCAACUAAUUUUCUCAAUCUUUUUUUUUUUUCUAAUGAGCAUAAACAAACAUCAUGGUUCCAAAUAAUAGAAUCCAUAGAAUCAACUCAUACAAAAUUAAUUGGGCCUUGGUGGAAGCCUGACAUCCAUGAUAUCUUCUUUGAUAUUGACUCAAAUGAGGAGAUUGUUCGAUAUUUGAUUGAUUUUGAUUAUUUUUUGUGAUACAUGAGAUUGUUUUGCACUUGUUAUUGAGCUAACCCUAUUUCUAUAGAAUUGUUAAUGCUUGCUACACAGGUGCCCUCUCCAUCACCUAUUUUCAGAAUUCUAUGAACAUAUAUGUUAUUAUGAGUUAUGUCCAUGUUUGAUAUUAUCUUUGGAUGCCUUGAUAUUGAUUUGAUUUGCUAUGAUAAAAAGCAUGACGUGUGUCAUAUUUUUUAACUAACUUUGAUGUUUUGUGAUAGCGCUUGAUAAGCAGUUUAGGUACACAUCCUAACUCUUAUUUAUAUUUGUGAUUGACUUUCUUAUUUGGCAUGCUAAUUUUGAAAUCACCUUAGUCUACCUAGGUACCUUUAAUUAAUAGAUUAAUCGUCACAUUUCCUUUAACUUAGCUAGUAGAGACCUUUUUAGGGCUAAGAGGGGUGUUACCUCUUUGAGGUACCUUCCCAAUAGGUAACCUAAUCCCCAAAUCUAGACUCGGGCUUUUCAAAGACAUGUUUUGCAAAACUUUGGAGUCACUUUUCUUAGGGUUUUCUUUCUUGUUUUAUUUUCUUUUUAAAAUAAAAAUAAAAUAAGCGGUGACUCCAACUUUUUCAAAAUUAAUUUUUCACCAUUUAAAAAGCAAGUCUCGCUAAUGAGUGGGGACGCAUGUGAAAAAUGUGGGUCCACACCUAUUCUCCAUUGGGAUUAUCAUCCUGGAAUCAAUAAUUUUGUUGUACUUCUUGUUGGUAGAAUCCUGAUUGUCAUGUAAAUAGUUCUUCUGAUAGUUAUGAUCAUUGGUUCUCAUUGUUUAUCUCAAUAGGAGUAAGUUGUUUAUUUGAAAAGAGAAAGCAUCAAACUCUUGAUUAUGAGGUUUUAUACUAUGAGACUCCCUAAAAAAUUAUUGUAAUUUAAAUAAUCUAACUUUGAGCUCAUUAAAUGUCUUCAUUGAUUAGAAAUUUUUCUUCACUUUCCUUUAUCAAGCUUCUUCAAGUUUGUAUUUUUAGUUUUUAUAUUUAUUGAGCGGUGAAUUAGUCAUUAUAAUGUUAGGUUAUGUAUCUUUUUUAGGAUUUAUUUGACAAAGAAUUUCUUUUUACCUCCGGUUAAAAGCAAAGUUAGUCUUAGGCUAUCUCAAAUAUUAUUUUAAUUUACUUUUUUAGGUCAUGUUUGGUUGGUUAGAUAUAAUAGUAGAUAGGAAAAAAGAUGAAAUAGUGUAUCAUAUCUCAUGCUUGGUUGAUGAUGGAUCGCAUAUGGGAUAGGAUAAAUGGUAGAUUAAUAUAUUUCCCAUCCUUUUUUCCUAUAUCUCCUAGGAUAUGAUAAUGAAGACUACAAAAAAAGUGAUAGUACUAUAAGUAUAAUGAGCUUAGCAUGAAAGACAUUUUGUCAACUGAAUUAUUUUAGGCAAAUAACUUUUCAACAUACUCAAUGACAUAUGAAUUUUAUUUUUUCACAAAAUCAAAAGACACUUAUGUUAUAAAUAUAUGUGAUGCAACAUUUCAAUGUAUAUAUGAUUAACCUUCUUAUAUUCAUGUAGUAGAUAACUAUAAACUAAAAUUUGACUUAAGCUAUAUUUGGUUGGUUAGAUGAGAUAUGUUUAUCUUAAAAUAUCACUUUCAUGGGAUAUGACAUUAUUAUAUUAACCAAAUCACGCACACACAUAAGCAUAUAAUAAAGAAAAACACAAUAUUUUUAACAUGGUUUGGCGAUUAAUGUGAUCCUUAUGUCCAUAGAGUGCAUCAACAUUCAAUAAUCCAUUAAUCAAAAGAAAUGAAGGAUUAUAAUGGUGAAACUCUCGAAAAAAAACUCCUCUCAAUUGCGAUCACACUCUAAAAAAACCCCUAAAACAUAAAAGGGUUAAAAAUAUAAUAAAGCACACACAUCAUAUAUCAUAUAAAUAAAAUAAAAUAAAAACUUCUCCAUGGGGCACUAUCCCCUUCAGCCCUUAUGAGUUGACCAAGCAACUUGAUCCCCAGGAGCUGAUUAGGAAGCUCAACCCCUAGUAUGCCAAGUUGUUAGAAAAAUUAGGCUAAUCCAACCUAUGGUAAUCACCCUAGAGGGGGGGUGAAUAGGGUGAUGGUCUCUUUUUACAGAUUUAAACUAUGAGAAUGUAAGAGACAAUUAUAUGCAAGUAUAUAAUAAACAAUAUAAAGAUAAUUGUAUAUAAAUUAAAAGAAUAAGGAAGAGAGAAUGCAAACACAAGAUUUUAUAGUGGUUCGACACAACCCGAUCUACAUCCACUUUCCUCUAGCUUUAAUCCCAAGCUUGAGGUUCCAUUAGUUCAAGGCUUCCAAACCAAGCCUUCAAGCAACACAAUUGGAUUAUGGUUCCAAUUCACUCUCUUGGACUUUUGGCUCCAAGCACCCUUUACACUUCUCAAGAGAUAUCCCACACUUGAGAAACUUCCUCUCAAAUGUUUACAAAUAAAUGAUCUCACAAAAUCCUAGUACAAAAACUUUAAGCUCAAAUGAUACAAGAAAACUAGGAUUAAAUGGUACACUAAAGAUAUACAAGUUUUAGAACAAUGGUGCACUCAAAAACAUUCUUCCAAUGCUUAAAUAUAUUCAAGAAAGGUUUGGGAAUGUUAAGCUUAUAAAACAAUGAAGAUUGGAGCCUUUUUAUAGAAGAAAAAAAACCAAACUAGCCGUUGGAGGUUCGACCGGUUGACUAGCCGUUAGCAUUUAAUGCUUGGCAGGUGACAAUUGGAACUCGACCGGACCUCAACCGGACCUUGAAUGGACCUCAACCAGUUGAGGUUCAACCUUGACUGGUUGAACAAUCAUUCUGGAAGAAAGAGAAAUUUUUUUUGCACCCUCGACUGGUUGAGUUGGGGGUCAACCCGGACCUCGACCGGUUAAGCUAGGGGUAAACCUGAACCUUGACCAGUUAAGCUGGCGGUCGAUCGAUUCCUUAUUCGGCUCAAUCGGUUGAGUAGUUUUUGGCUCAACAACUAACUUUUUCAACUUAAAACCUUUUAAGACAAAUUUGAAAAACAUUUAACACAAGGUUUUAGUUGAAAACAUGAAAUCAUCCAAUUUUUAAAAUAUUUAAAAUAAAAUAACCCUUGGAUAAUUUUGGUGCAUAAGUAAAGAAUGUAAUACAUGAAAAUUAUAGUGCACCAACAACCUUACAAAGAGAUCUUAUGAAGCUUGGGUCUUGAAAAACACUUCUCUUUGAGGUGGUCUUCUUUUUCAUGAUUUCUUCUUGACUUGAUUUGUCUUUGUGAUUUCCACUUUGGAAAUCGUCUUGCCUAAUCACACUUGAAAUAUAAUCAUUACUAAACCUUGUUUUGUUAUCAUCAAAAUCAAGAUUAACUAAACCUUGAUUUCACACAAGUGAAACACAACAAAACUAAUUCAGCCUUUAUAAUCCAUGCUUUAAACAUUAUAUUCGUUGAAAUAUAUCAUGUCAUACUUAUGUAUGGUUUAUAAAAAGAAUAGAUAAUGAAAUGGAACAUAUUACAUUUCAACAUUCGUAUUGUUUAGAAUAAAAAAUUUCUUAGUACUAUUAACUAAUGCCACCUCAAUAGCUCACAUAUUUAGACUAUUGACAAUAUCAAAUCCUUGAAUUCUCAUUUUCUCUUUCUUUUUUCUUUUUUUUUUUAACUUAUUUUUCUUUACAACAUCUCAUGAAAUCACAUAAAAAGGAAUCGGGAAGCCUUGAUUGAUGAGUGUUUUGCUUGCUAAACAAAACAACCUUCAUGGCUAGCAAUCAACAUAUGGAAAAAUACCUUAGGUUGAUAUCAUCAUGCAGCUUUGAACUCUUUUUGGUUAGUUCCCAUAAAUUUUUGGUAGGUAAGGAUAAAAGCAUAUUCAUGUUGACUAUAGAGCUUAUCAACUCAGGAAGCAGUCGAGGUCCAACUAGCUUCUUUCAAGCGAAUGACGAGCAUACCUGCAACAAGAUGUGUCCAGAUAGUUGUUUAUAGUUGAAAUUAAAGUUAGGUGGUCUUUUAUUCUGGCAAAGUUGUAACGUUUUAUGUGUCUCUUUAAUACUUUAAAUGUCAACAAUUGGCCUUGCAAAUAACAACUUUUGGGCUCAAAGUCAAAUGCUUAUACUCAUGAUUACUCUUAACAUAACGGUUCAGUACAUUUAUAACUUGCAUAAUGCAUAUGGACACUACCCGAAUAUCCUUUUGUUCGUCUGAUAUUUGGACGAGAAAUGGAUUUAUGCCUAGAUGAAUGCGGGGUCCCACAAUGACCUCCAAUUUUCUCAGUCAGAUUUGUUUAGUCACUAAAUUGGCUACUAGAGAAAAUUUAAUUUCGACUUGCUUGUUGAAAAAGUUUUCAAAUUUCAUUUUUUGGUGCCAAAGGGACAUUUGUCCAAUGCACAGGGCUCGAGACAACGCAUGAAAAAACACUGGAUUACAUAUGAUAUCUCUACUAUUCCUUUGGAUGGUGAGGAGAAGUUGGAUGAGGAAGUUCCCCUUUGAGACAGGUCGGGUGUUCCAGACAAAAGUGGUGUUGAAGCUCAAUUAAGCAAUAUGGCCAAUUAGACCUGUGGUCAGAUGCUUGUAACUAGUUUGCCACUUUUUUGGACAAUUAUCCUCUUAGGCUUUUACGCCUUUCAUGAUGACAUAGAUAUUUUUGCUAUACAUUCCAAACAUAAUAUAAGUUUUUUGGUGUCUAAUGUUCAAGAAAUUUCCUUAAGUCAUGAUCUUUCUCCUUCUUAAAUCAUUUUUAUUUAUUCUUUAUUUUUAUUCCUUGAAAUUUCCCAAAUGUUUGCAUAAUAAUAAUAAAAAUAUAUAUCAAAUUAUUGGAAGCAUAUUAGUUUUGGAUAAGGUUGCAACUUGGGUAAGUUGAUUGGAUUGAUAGUUAACUCGAGUCUAACCUGAAUUAAAAAAUAAUCAAAUUGAACUCAACUUAACUCAGCUUCUAACCCACAGUAUUCAACCCAACAUCAUUUCUUUAAGUUCAAAUUGGUCAUAUUAUAGAUAUAACAAAAUUUUAAGAUAGUAACAAAAUAAAAAUAAAAAUAAAUUUAUAUAGCUUUACUAAAAAUGAAAAAAUAUAUAUGACAUAAUAUAACUUAAUAUUUAAAAAAAAAAUGAGCUUGAGUUGAAAAAACCUAAUCCAAACCCAACCUGUAUAUUGAAAAUAAUUGUCCAAUCUUAUUCAUAUCUUGGGUGGAUUGAACCAAUCAGCCAAAGCUAAACCCCUAGUUUUGGCUAAAUUCAUUUUUUUUCCCUACAAAAUGAAAAAACUUAAAUAAAUUAUUUUAAUAUGAGUUUUUAUUAAAUAUGGUUAAAAUUCAUUUUAAAAAAAUUUAAAUUAUUAAAUUUUAUUUCUUUACUAUUUAACACAUAAUAGGCCUUAUUAUAUUAUAAAAAUAUAUUAAAAAAAGAGAUAUUUUCCUUACUUUCAAAAUAUUAAUAUUUUCAAAGGUUUGAUUUCUUAAUAAAUGCUAUUUAUAUUAUAAAUGUUUUUUAAAAGCAUGGUUAAACUAAGUAUGAUUAUGAUUACUAAAAAACACUUUUCGAUUACUGAAAAACACUUUCUUUUAUAGGUAAAUGAAGAGUAUGUUUGACCGUAAUUCUAAAAAAUAUUUUUAACACUUGAAUGAUAAAAUUUUUAAAAUAUUAAAAAUGUUAUAAAUACUUCUUAAAAUCACGGUAAAAUAGUUGAAAUGACAUUUGUAUUACUAAUGUCUUCCAUUUCCAUAACACAAGUUAUCACCAUUCAUCUUCUUGUUGUAAAAAUAUUCAUUAGGCACAAACUUCCCCCCCUUCGUUUCUCUUAUCCUUUCCUCGCAAUAUCUUCACCUCUCUUUUCACUUAUCCUUUCCCCUUAUGUUGUAGGUCCUUGAACAGAUCUUCAGAAUUGAUCGCCAUAUGCAUUUCCCAUCAACCUCAAUUACCAAACUAUUAACUUGACCAAUAUUUCAUAAUUCGUAGGAAUUAAUUCAAAUGGAUAGACACAAUCAUAGUCUUUCCUUAUUGAAACACUAAAUAAAAAUUAAACCCCUCUUGUCAAUGAUCGUCAAUCUUCUUCCCUAGCAGAUGACUUCUUUUUGGCUUCUUCCUUGGCCUUCAACAUUGCUUCUUCCUUGGCCAUCUCCAAUGCCUAAACUAGACUCUUUAAGCUUGUUUCAGCAUCAGCCACACUUGUCUUAGGCAUCAAAUGCUCAGCAACAUCAGUUAGGGUCACUCUACUUUCCCCUAACAACCUCUCAAUCAUGUUGAAUAGGUGGUGGGAAUCAAGCUCCAGAUAGGUCCUAGCCAGCACCUUGAACGAUUCAAAGUUGCAGUAUGAUAAUUCGAUGGGCUUGUCCAUCCUUCCUCGCCGAAUCAGAGCUGGGUCGAGCUUCUCCAUGUAGUUUUUCAUGAAUAUUAUCAGCCUUUCCCCCUUGUAGGCUGACCAAAGGCCAUCAAUGAAGUUCAAUAGCCCGGAGAGAGUCACCUUACUGGUCUUCCCUUGAUCAGAAUCCCCUAUCUUCGCUUGUUUUUUGAUGGGGUUUUUCUCUUCUUCCUCAGCCGCCUUGUUCUCUUUCUUCUUCUUCCUCUGACCCGUCAAGUCGAGCGAGCAGUUGAUGUCCUCAAUCACAAUGAUGGACUUGCUCAACGUCUAGAUCAGCAACUUCCUCAGCUCGGUGUUGUCCUUAACCUCCGUGAGUUCAAGAUCAUAGAUGUCGUACUCCAACAGAUUCGUCAUGGCAGCAAUCAUGGUAGAUUUUCCCGUCCCAGGAAGGCCAUAAAGGAGGUAACCCUGUUUCCAAGCUUUCCUAAUUCUUGCGUAGAAAUCCUCUGCCUUACUAAAAGAAACCAAGUCAUCAAUCAUCUCCUUCUUCUUCUCAGCCUCCAUGGCAAAGGUUUGAAAAGUUUGUUGAGAUAUUAGGAAUGCUUUCCUUAUAUCAUUCUUUCCUUAUAUCAUUCAGUGUUGAGAUAUUAGGAAUGUUUAGAUAUUAGGAAAGUUGAGAUAUUAGGAAUAUUGAGAUAUUAGGAAAGUUGAGAUAAUAGGAUAUUAGUUGUUAUUUCCUUAUAUCAUUCUUUCCCAUUCUUAGAAUGUUGAUUAUCCUCUAUAUAUACUCUGUACAUGAACGAAUGAAAGAAUGAAUGAAAAAACUACCAUUUAUCAAUUUGAAGAUGGUAUCAGAGCCAUGGAACUGAAAUCCUGGAUAUUUUGUAGCUAUGGUAGUCCGACAGCGAUCAACCAUCCUAAGACAAGCCCUAAUAUUGAUAAGUCAACCUUCAAAUGCACUCACUACAAUAAAACUGAUCCCACCAGUCUGGAUAUCCCACAAUUUCAAAGCAACGACUCUUGGUAUAACCAGGAAAACAAUGAGGAACAGAGGGUUUGAACCAUGGAUCUUUAGAUCAUGUUUAAGCUAUCACCACUUUGUUAUUAAUGAUAAUAAUCAUGAUCAACGGAAGAAGGAUUCUAAGAAAACCUCGACUGCAACUGUUGUCGAAGUAAAAAUAGAGGCUAAUGUUGUUGAGAAAGCCUUUGCAUUGGUAGCCGCUACAGAUUAUGGUGGUAAGUUUUUAAAUACUUCUACACUUGUUAUUAAUAGUGCAUGGAUAAUUGAUUCUGCUGCUACAAAUCAUAUGACUUUUGAUUCGAGACAGGUUUCACCUCUUAAACCUUCCUCACAAAAAAUUGUUUUCAUAACCAAUGGUAACACAACCCCAGUCAUUAGAGAAGGAUCCUUAACUCUUACUGAUACUUUGAAUUUGGAUUAUAUUUUAGUUGUUCCAUCUUUAGAUUACAAUCUUUUGUCAGUUUCUCAAAUCACUGCAGCCUUAUCUUGUAUUGUCAUUUUUUUGCCUGAAUUUUGUGUUAUUAAGGACAUCCAAACAAGACAAAUGAUUGGUUAUGGUAUUAAGCGGUGAAAACUCUAUUACUUGGACUUGCAGUCAAAGGAUUCAAAUAAGUUGCAACAAGCCUUGAUGGCAGAUGGAUCUGAGGCGGAGAAGAAAAAGUCUGAAAUUUGGUUGUGGCAUCGACAUCUAGGACAUGCUUCCUUUGGUUAUUUAAAAAAAUUGUUUCCUAGUUUGUUUGCAAAGAGUGAUAUUUCUGGUUUUCGUUGUGAUAUUUGUGAAUUGGUUAAAAGCCAUCGUUAUUCGUUUCCAUUAAUUUUGAAUAAAAGUCUACUUCCUUUUAUAGUUAUACAUUCUGAUGUUUGGGGCCCAUGGCUCACGUUGGUUUGUUACUUUUAUUGAUGAUUGUACCAGAAUGACCUGGUUAUGCUUGAUGAAGACCAAAGAUGAAGUGAACUUGUUGUUUCAAAAAUUUCAUAAAAUGAUUGAAACUCAGUACAAUGCAAAGGUUCGAGUUCUGCGUAGCGAUAAUGAUGGAGAAUAUCAAAGUUCUGAUCUUCAAAAGUAUUUGGAAGGACAUGACAUCAUUCAUCAGACUACUUAUUCCAAUACACCCCAAUAAAAUGGAGUCGCUGAACGGAAAAAUCGAUACUUGUUAGAGGUUGUUCGUGCUUCCUUGAUAACAGCAAAAAUAUCGAUAUCUUAUUGGGGAGAAGCAAUCACAUCUGUCGCAUACUUGAUCAAUCAGGUACUUUCCAACUCAAAUGACUUCCAAACACCUCUUCAAGCUCUUAUUAAUGCUGUAGUUGCCCCAACUGCCACAAAUCUACCUCCUCGUGUUUUUGGUUGCAUGGCAUUUGUGCAUCUACACAAACACCAAUGCACCAAGUUAACUUCCCGUGCAUUGCAAUGUGUGUUUGUUGGAUAUGCAUUGCACAAAAAGGGAUAUCGAUGUUACCAUCCUCCAACUCGACGAAUGUUUAUUACAAUGGAUGUGGUGUUUCAUGAAGAUUUGAUGUAUUUUUCAUCUGAGUUUGAACUUCAAGGGGAGUACCAUAAGGAAAUUCAGACUCUCGAUUAUAAUUAUCAUAUCUCUAAGGAGGAUGAAUCUGGGCAAUCUGAACUAGUGAAGUAGGAAGCGGGUGAAUUGGAUACGAGUGGUACAACUUUAGAACCAAGUAGUAAUGACCACCCAAAAGCUGAAGAAGUGAUAGAAGUGAUAGAAGAGGGGAGAGACAGUACAAUUGAACCAUCUGAACAAUUUGGGUCUAAAGAUGCCUUCAUUGAAAUACCAAACCAAUCGUCGUCUGCUGAGGGUGUUCUUAAUUUGGAACCUGAUCCAUUCAUGAAAUGGUUACCACACUAUCAUAAUAAAAGUAUUCCUAAACCCACAUAUGAACCUGAAUUUUCUACCAAAGUCAAAUAUCACAUGAGCAAUUAUGUGUCUAACCAUCGUUUGUCUUAAUCAAAUAAAUCAUUUGUAAAUCAAUUACCUACUAUAGUUAUUCCUAACAAUGUGCAGAAAGCCUUAGCUGAUCCAAGAUGGAAAGCAGCCAUGAAUGAAGAGAUGAAAUCAUUGCAAAAAAAUGAAACAUGGGAACUCAUAGAAUGUCCACCAAGAAAGAAGCCAGUUGAGUGUCGUUGGAUCUAUACUGUGAAGUACAAGGCGGAUGUUAGUAUUGAACGAUUUAAAGCAAGGCUGAUAGCAAAAGGGUACACUCAAACUUAUGAAAUUAACUACACAGAGACAUUUGCACUUGUAGCUAAGAUCAACACAGUUAGAGUAUUACUGUCUUUAGCUGCAAACCUGGAUUGGUCAUUACAACAAUUCAAUGUGAAAAAUUCCUUUCUACAUGGCGAGUUAUCUGAAGAAGUAUAUAUGGAUCUUCCACCAGGAUGCAUGGUGUUAGAAAAGCAAUGUCAGAAGGUGUGCAAAUUGAAGAAGUCAUUGUAUGGGUUGAAGCAAUCCUCGAGAGCAUGGUUUGGAAGGUUCACAAAGUCAAUGAGAGCUUUUAGCUAUCGUCAAAGUAACUCAGAUCACACUUUGUUCCUGAAAAAACAAUAUGGUAAGAUUACGAUACUCAUCGUAUAUGUGGAUGACAUGGUAGUUACAAGAAAUGAUCCUAAAGAAAAAAAAACUUUGCAAAAUUAUCUAUCUAGAGAAUUCGAAAUGAAAGAUCUAGGUCAUCUGAAAUACUUUUUUGGGAUUGAAGUUUCUCGAUCAAGUGAAUGAAUUUUUCUAUCUCAAAUAAAGUAUGUCUUAGAUCUUUUACAAGAAACUGGAAUGUCGGGAUGUCAACCUGUUAAUACACCAAUAAAAGAAGGUCUAAAAUUGUGUGUUAAGCCUAAUCAAGUAUCAACUGAUAAUGGAAGAUACCAAAGACUUGUGGGGAGAUUAAUGUACUUAGCUCAUACAAGACCAAAUCUUGCUUAUGCAUUGAGUGUAGUGAGUCAAUACAUGCAUAAUCCUAGAGAGCAACAUAUGAAUGCAGUCAUGCGUAUUUUGAGGUAUUUGAAGAAUGUUCCUGGGAAAGGAAUUUUGUUCACUAAAAAUGUUGAUCAUCAGAGUAUAGAAGAUAUACUGAUGCUGAUUGGGUCGGUGUAGUGGAUGAUAGGCAAUCUACAUCUGGUUGUUUUACCUUUGUAGGUGGUAAUCUUAUGACAUGGAAAAGUAAGAAGCAGAAUGUUGUCGCUCGUUCCAGUGCAGAAGCGGAAUUUAGAGGUAUGACUCUAGGACUUUGUGAGGCAUUAUGACUAAUACUCCUCUUACAGGAUUUAGGUUACCUAUCUAGGCAACCAAUCCGAUUGUUUUGUGACAAUAAAGCUACAUGUGACAUUGUUCAUAAUCCAGUACAACAUGAUCGUACAAAGCAUGUCGAGGUGGAUAGAUUCUUCAUUAAGGAAAAGUUGGAUGAUAAGAUUGUGGAAUUGCCUAAGAUUCAAUCAAAAGAUCAAUUGGCUGAUAUCCUCACCAAAGUUGUCUCAAGUCAAGUGUUCUCAAAAUUUUUAGACAAGUUGGGCAUGUGUGACAUCUAUGCACCAACUUGAGGGGGAGUGUUGAGAUAUUAGGAAUGUUUUCCUUAUAUCAUUCUUUCCUUAUAUCAUUCAGUGUUGAGAUAUUAGGAAUGUUUAGAUAUUAGAAAAGUUGAGAUAUUAGGAUAUUAGUUGUUAUUUCCUUAUAUCAUUCUUUCCUUGUAUCAUUCUUUCCCAUUCUUAGAAUGGUGAUUACCCUCUAUAUGUACUCUGUACAUGAACGAAUGAAAGAAUGAAUGAAAAAACUACCAUUUAUCAAUUUGAAAAAAGUUGCAGGGUGAUCAAAUACCACAUGGCUCCACAUCGACCUAUUGUUGGUAUAAAGCUUCCACUGCCGAGUUCUGACAUUAAUCGCCUUCCUUUCCCUCAACACAUGACUGAGGUACUCCUUGGUGAUCAAAUCUCGGUGUUUCUUGUGGAAAGUCAGCCGGUAGUACCUCUUCUCAUCCGGCUGCCCAUAGAAAGGGAAUGUCUGAUUUCUAGCUAUGAUGGUGCUUGAAGCCCACCACAUGCUUUAAAAAUUGCAUCAUACUAAAUGCAUAAUAUUUUUAUGAAAAAAAAGUGUUUUUUUUUUAUUUGAGUUCCUAAAUUUAUUCUUGAAAAUAAUUGAAAACUAAUUUUAAUAACUAUUUGUAAAAACUAUUUUUUGAAAUUAUUAUGGAAUAAGCAUGAAGUUUUUAUUAUGUAAAUUUGAUUUUCUAAGACAUUAUGGACAUAUUUGGUAAGUAUUUUUUAAAAACAAUUUUUUGUUUUCUCGAAUAAAAAAAUUAGGAAAACAUGUUUGACAAUCAAAAAUUAUAUUCUGUUUUCUAUUUCAGAUAACAUCUUUUUAGUUAUUUUAUUAAUUUUUCCGAAAAAUUAAUUACACAAAUAUGUUUGACAAUCAAAAAUUGUUUUAUGUUUUCAAUUCUUAAGAACAUAAAACAGGUAUUUUCAUCUUUUAGGUAUUUUAUAUUGUUUUCACUUAUUUUUUUGAGAAAUGUUAUAAAAAAUAAUUGCACAAACAUGUUGAAUGAUUAAAAAUAAAAUAGUAGAUAUAAAAAUUAUUUUUAAAACAUAUUAAAAAUGAUUUUAAAAAAAAGUUAAAAACAGUUUAGAUUUCCAAACAUACUUUUGUUCUAUGAAAUAUUAGAGAACAGUUUCAAAAAGUUGUUUUAAAAAAUAGUUACCCAACAAACCUUAUUUUUCUACUUUUAUCCUUAUGUUAUGUACAAAAAAAUAGUAUUUGAAUAUUUAUAAAAUUUUAAAUAAUUUUUAUUAUAUUUAAUUUUAAUUCCUUCCUUUUGCCAUAAACUAAAUAAAUAAAAUAAUUUAUAUUUUUUUCUUUUUUUAGCAUUUUCUUAUAUUCACAAGAAUUUUGAAAUAUGGAAAGUUUUUUCUCUAUUUGGUUAUGUACUCAUAAUGUUAGAAGUUUAAUGUUUGAAAUUUUAUUUAUAAUAUGAAUUUUAGUGGAUAAAUUUAAUUUUUCAAAUGACAUAUAAUAAAUUUUGCUCAUUUUUAAAAAAUUUUAAAAAUCCUUUUAAGUCCGCCUAUAACUUAACUUUCAAAUAUUUCUUAACUUUUAUUUAUAAUACCUAUUAAAAUAUAUUCUCAAAAAAUAACUCAUUUUCAAAAUAAAUUUUCUAUAAAAAAUUAUCAAACUUAUUUUCAUGAGUUUGAAAAUUAGUUUUUCAUUCAAAUAUUUGAUUAUAAGGGGUGAGAAAAUGUUGAAAAUAAAUAAAUUUUAUUUAUUGCAAAUUGCAUAUGUAACUUCAUUUUGACAUUUUUACCCUUAAACUUUUUAUCCAAAAAAUAUUUAAUAAGAAAUAAAAAUUCAAAAUUUGUUUAAAGAUAUUUUUAAUGGAAAAGAAGUUAUAAUUUUAGUUAUUUCAAAGAAGACAAAUCAUUAUUUUCAAUUAAAUUUUUAAUCAAAUAACUCUUUUUUAUUGUUCUUUCUUUUUCUUCCCUUGUUAUUUUUUUAAUAUAGAAAUAUAGGGUUUAUUUGACAAUUAUUUUCGAGAACAAUUUGAGAACAAAAAUUUGUUUUCUACUCUCAAGAAUAAAAACAUGAUUUUUUUUUUUAAAAUAUCUUUUAGUUAUUUUUUGCUAUUUUCACUUAUUUUUUAUAACUAUUUUUAAAAAUAAUUAUAUAAACAUGUAUAAUGAUUAAAAAUAAAGUUUUAGACAUAAAAUUAUUUUUAAAUCAUAUUUAAAAAUAUUAAAAAUAUUUUAAGUUUCAAAUAUAUUUUUAUUUUAUAAAAGAUCAUAAAAUAAUUUUAAAAAACUGUUGUGUUUUGAAUAAUUAUUUUAUAAGUGAUCAUAAAACAGUUUUGAAAAACGGUUACUGAAAAAAAAGGUGUUUGAAUAACAAAUAAAAACAACUAGAGAACGUAUUUAAAACCAUCUAUUUUCUAGAAACUCUGCAGCUAAGUUAGCAAACAGGCCAAAGCUUGGUAACUUCGAAUAUUCAAAAUCUUGGAUUCACACCACUUUCCCUAAAGGCGUCUAUUUUUUAGAAACUCUGCAGCUAAGUUAGCAAACAGGCCAAAACUUGGUAACUUUGAAUAUUCAAAAUCUUGGAUUCACACCACUUUCCCAGUACAUCCCAUUAAAGAUGAGUCAGAUGCACCCACCACUCCCAGCUGCCAUAUACGAUUGGAAAACGACUUCAAAGUCGCUGAAAAUAUUAUCUGCCUCGUACAAAAAUACAGCAAGGGUGCCAUACAUGCAACUCAUAUAGACCAUAUUUCAACGACAAUGGACUGUGGGUCCUCCUCCCUUCCUCCCUUUCUCCCUUCCAUGUCGAAACACCCAGUACUCCAUGACCAAAAGAAUAUGAACAGGUUCACUCUGCAGCUGGUUCUUUGUAAUCGAGUGGAGCUUUGUCCGCUGGUGCCGGCCUGGAAGAUGGGGUCGAGUCAGCCACUACCGAUAGGUGUGAAAAAAGUCAUUUUUCUUAGUUUUUGGUUUUCGUACUUUCAUAAAUCAAGCAUAACCUUAGAACUUUGAGAACAAAAUAUAGCUUUAACCGUUUUUAGAAAUAAAGUAAAAUAUAAAAUAAUUUUUUUAAAAUAAAUAGAAGUUAUUUUCAUUGGUUUUUUUUAAAAAAGAAAACCUUAGAGAAAUAAAAAAGAAAAAAAUCAUAAAAAGCAACUAAAGCAUAACAUCAUGUAUCUUUCUUUUUACAUUCUCUCGUUACCCAAUAGUGAUAUCGAAAAUAUUUAAAUAUCAUCUCACUUUAAAUUAUAUGUAUUUAAUAAAAAUCUCCUAUAAUUUAUCUUUUUUUUUCCUAAGACAAAUAUAUUUCAAAUCAAGAAAGACUUGAUACAUAAAAUUCAUUAAUUUUUAAAAAUAAUUUAAAAUUCUAAAAUCGAAUCAAUUAAUACUAAAGUCGUGAACUCAAAAUUGAUAUGGUUAAAAUUAAAAAGUCGAAAACCAAAAUUCAUUUUAAAUAAGUUUAUUAGUUUUUUCCUUUACAUAUAAUUAUAUUUUUAUGAAUUUUUAAAUAAACUUUAAAUCAAGUAAGAUCGAAGGCGUUGGACUUAUUAACGAUUCUAAUAAUUUUGAAAUUUAAAUAGUGACACAAUUAAUAUCAUAAACGUACAAACAAAAACUAGUAUAAAGCAACUCAUUAUUUUUCUUUUGAAAAUAAACUAUGAAGAUGUCAAUAUCCUUUUUUUUAAUAGAAGAAUUAUUUUAAAAAACAAAUUCUCUAAAUAAGUUUUUACUUUUUAUUUUUUGAAAAGUGUUUUUAAAAACAACUUAUUACAUGCCCUUUGCUUUUAGAAAAUAUUAAAAAAUUAUUUUUUAUUCUUUACUGAAUUUUACUUUCCAUUUCAUGAUUUUCUUCAUUUUAUGCAACCAAUUCAUCUUCUUCUAAGUUUUGUUCCUUUCUUCCUACUAUUGUCCUUGAGGUUUUCCAAGAAUUCCAACUUGAGAUUGGGUACUAAACUAGUUGUUAUGUGUAGUGAAGAAUUUUUGGCUACCAUGUGGAAAGAAAUUCUAUUUAUGUGCAUUGUAGUAAGACUAAGAAUUGAGUUUUUGAAGUGAAGUUUCUCAGGGUUUUGUUGAUUUGGUUUCAACAAUAUUUUACCUCUAUAAUCUAAGAUCAAAACAUAAAAAAAAAAAAAGGGGGUAUGAACCUCCUUUAUAGUUGGUUAAUCAAAUCUAGUAUGGAAAGAUGUUACAAAUGGAUUGUACUCAACUCAUAAACCUUGAAAUAAGUAGAUCAAUUGGUCUCUAUUUAAGAUCAAUUCACCAAUGGAAGCAAGCUUAUCUACAAUAUUCUUAAACUUAAAAACAAACUCAUGUAAUGAGAGCACUUUCGAUCUUAAUGGAUUGAAUUUCAAUGUGAAGCUUUAGGACACAAGAAUGAGAUGUUGCAACUUAGGUUCUCUUUAGAGUGUUCCAAGUCUAUGAGGUUGUGAUCAGUUCAAUGAUUAUGUAGAGCAUCCUUUUUAUUACUAAAGAAUAGAAGUAGCUCAUUAGAAGUUAGGUUAGACAAUGCCACAUCCAAAAUUGGGGAUUAGUGAAUUGAGGAGGCAAGAGGAACAUUAGUUCCAUCAAUGAAAUCUUCGAGUUCAUUGGCGAUUAUAAUAUUUAGAAGUUGAUUCUUCUAGAGCAAGUAAUUGUCUUUAUCUGACUUAAUGUUGAGAGGUUGAUUAAGAUUUGGAAGGAAUGGUUGGAAAUAUGGAAGAGGAAAUAAGGAUGAAGAACAUUACUAAAAUUAAUUCUCCAACUUACAAAACAUAUUUGCCAAAAAUUUGACAAAAGACAAAUUUUUAAAUAAUUUAUUUUAAAAACAUGCAAUUAUUUUUUAUACUGCUGGAAUUGAAAAGAUAAAAGAAUAUUUUUAGGGAAUUGAGUAUUUUUAUAAUAUACUAAAUUUAGAAUACAUUUAUAAAAAAAAUUCAAAAAAAUGUUUUUCACAUUUAAUUUCCAAUUAUAAUUUAUUUCUAAAAAUAAUUUAUUUUUUCUCUUUUAUAUAAAAAAUAAAAUAAUUAAAAAAAGUUUUUUUUCCAUAUUUAAGUUUCCAACCAUAAUUUUUUUGUAUAUAAAUAUUUUAGUUUUUAAAAUAAAUAUUAAAUAAUUCAAAUUUUCAUAAUUCUUAAAUUAAAUUAAAUUAUAUUUAUUUUUUAUUUUUUAUAAUAUAUCAAAAUUUAAAAAAAAAUCAUUUUUCUUCAUAUUUUUAUUUCAUUCUAUAUAUAGAAGUUCGGCAACAUCACAAAGAUAAAAAAAAAAAAAAAAAAAGGUUGGGGGAGGGGCGGCGUUGGAAUGCGAUAGAAAAUCCCAAGAAAUUUCUCCAACUGUAGUCUCUCCCCUUCAUUUUUUUUACCUAAAGCCCCACCAUGACUUUGGGCUUGAGCUUGUUUCUUGAAAUACAAGGCCUUGGCCUGUUUAAUAUUGGGUUGGGUUGAAGCCGCUUAUGUCACAGUUGCUAGAAUCCCCGGCUGUGACCUAAUCACUGCUUGCGAAACAAAAUGUUCAGAAAUGUGCCGCGGCUCCCGCCAUGUACCAGUUUAAAGCUUCUCCCUAACAUUCCUCCAUCCCUCUUCCAUGAAAGCAGUAAAGCACACUUCAAUCGUACACCUCCCAAGGUUUUUCUAACAUUACACCUCCCAAGGCUUUUCUGAUUGUACACCUCCCAAGGUUUCUCUUUCUCUCUCUAGUUUUUUUCUGCAUUUCUUCAACCUCACAUUGCCAUACCAUAUUGGGAUUACCUCAUUUAAAAAAAAUUAAUUUGUUUUUAUUUUAUUAUUUUAUUAUUUUAUUUUUUAAAAUAAAUUCAUGUGAAAUUUCAUUACUUUCGUGAGUUUCAAUCUCUGUAGCUACGGUCUGAAUUGUUUCUAGGGUUUCUUUUUUCUGGAUGUUUUGUAGUGUUAUUGAUUUAUGAAGUGAUGUUUGGAUGUUUUUGACGGUUUCUUCACUUUUUUAGGGUUUUAUUGUUCUUCAUUUUUCUAGCAUUGCCACUAGAAAUCCAAGGGUUGUUCAUGAAGUGUUAGCGUUCUAUUUAGCCGGAAAUGGAGUGCAUGUGUUUUGUAGGAUUCAAGGUUCAGAGUAUCGGUCGAGUUCGGUACGACUCGGCAGAGUUGUAUCCGCCUCGACACCUGCCGCAACGAGACCGAUACCAGAUAUAGUAUAAUGCACGAACUCGGCUGGGAAUUGGUUAGACUCGGCUAACUUGUCUGAGUUUUCAAGUUAACUCGGUUAAGUUACAGAGAACUUUCAAAUUUUUCAUAAAAUUAAAAAAAAAAAAAAAAAAAGUAAUCAGAGAUUGCCCUUCCAAAAGCAAACACCUAUUCUGAAAUUUUAAAGCAUCAAUGAGAAGAUCAAAGAAGAUGAAGAAGAAAAAACCCUAACCGUGACCUAUUCAGAAAUAAGCGGAGAAACCACUUAAGGAUGAGGGCAUGAUUUAGGAUUUACUUACCUGAUUUUCCUCAAAAUCAAGUAUUACCAGAGGGUGGAGCUUUGGUGUCGGCGGUGGUGACUCGUCAAGUGGACUGAAUAUUGCAUCGACAACGUCGACAAGACAACCCCUCAUAGUCAGAUUGCUCCCCUUCCCAUGUUAGGAACUGUUACAAAUUUGCGAUUGCAGAUGGUGUCGUCUGUUGUGGGUCUUGACAGCAUGGUAGCGUGCGAGGGUGGGAGAUUGGGAGCUCUGUUGUGGGUCUUGACAGCAAUGGUGGCGAGGACGGGAGAUUGGGGGCUCAAAUUAGUAAAGUAAAAAAGGUGCCUUUUAUACAGAUUUACACAGAGAAUUAAGGCCAAUUUACAUGGAAAAUACUUUUCAUAUAAACACUUUAAUAUGAUUUAAUAAUAACUAAUUAGGAAAAUUAAGUACCCGAUUUGCUAAAGUAAAUGAUAUGAAAGGUAUAUAUGAGGUUUAAUGAUAAAUUAAAAUAUUUAUAUGGCAAAGUGAAAAUUAAAUCCUCAAUUUUUAAUAUUAUCAUAAAUAACUUUGAGCUAAAUGUGAAAAAAAAUUGUUUUAUUAAAAUUUUCAGCUUAUUUAAUUAUAUCUAUUUUAUUUUUUAAUUUAUAUAAUAUUUUUAUAAUUAUAUGAAAAUUUUAAUUAUCUUAUUUUACGUAUCGCUCGAUACCGAAAUUGAUAUGCCUCGUAACCCUCCGAGUCAAUAAUCGAUACCGCGACUUUGAACUAUGGUGGGAUUGGAGUUGUUUUAUUAUGCUCUGUUUGAUUGUUGAGAAAGGGUGAGAGAAGGACAGAGAAUAAAGUGAUUUUCAAUCUAAUAAAUGAGAAAUGGGAUUUGUGUACUUUGUGUUGGUGUCGAGCCAACUGGAGUCAGGUCCGUCCAGCUUCAUUGGAAUCAUGCAAAUUUCUUCCCUUGUUUAUGCUUCUUGAGGAGUCCGUCCAACUUCACUGGAGUCGGGCGGACUUCUUCUCUACACAGAAGGAUGUCCGAACGGGUGGUCUGAGUACGCCCCUCCGAAGUUCUAACUAUUUUUGUGGGAGAGAAUAAAAGUAUGUGUGUGUACCUUGUUUGUGUUUUUUGAGGGGUUUAUAUAGAGUUGUUGAUGACACCAUCCUUAUCUUGUAAUGAUGAUUACGUGGCAAAAAUCGAGCCUUGAUAGGACAGUCAACACCGUUAUUACGGCAUGGACUGGGCAAUCAUAUCAAGUAAGGGCGGCUGACUAGUGUCAUUUGCUGACUAUCGUGCCAAAAUCUCGGACCAUGUAGCUGAUUGUCCAUUUAGUUUGCCAAUGUUUGGGAUUGUGCGUAACAAUUAACUGAUAUUGACUUUUGGGUGUAAAUGACGUUUAAUCCAGCGCUCAGACAUCAGGCGGCUAGUCCGGCACAUGUUAGAAAUCCUGAGGACUUGAUUGAAUGGAUUUGCUUGUCUGAUUGGUCCAACCGACUCAGUCUCUCCAUUUCGUCUGGCAUUGUAAGCCCAUUUGAAAGGUUAAUUGGUUCGGUCUGUUCAUGCCAUCUAGCAUUGUGGAAAACUUCUCACUUCUGGUGCCAGAUGGAGCUUAUCUUGGUCCAGAUGGAGCGACCUUAGAUGGGUUAUAUGUUUGUCUUGGACGAUCAAAAGGUCUUGAGUCUUGGAAUGACACGUGGAGGGAAGCCCCCACACUAUGGGGGAUUAGAGUGAUUUGCUUGUGUUCAGUUUGGUUGCUGAGGACGUGUGGGGAAUGCAUGGAAAAUAAAGUAUUUUUCAAUUAAAUAAUGGGAAAUGAAAUGUAUAUAUUUUAGGGGAUUAAAGUGAUUUGCUUGUGCUCUGUUUGGUUGCUGAGCAAAUGUGAGACAAGAAUACAAAAGAACUUAUUUUUCAAUUUAAUUAACAGGGAAUUGAAUAUAUGUAUUUGGGAAAUUGGAGUCAUUUGCUUGUGUUUUUUUUCAAUUGUUGAGAAAGCAUGGGAAAAUACUUGAAAAUAUUUUUGUUCUUGAAGGAGAGUUUCAUAAGCUCUUUGUCAAAAAUUGCUACAAAAUCCCUGUUUAUUAGGAACCUUUUUUCUCUUAUGUUGACAUUCAGUCCUCCUAGGAGCCCAAGUUUGAUCAGUUAUGAGUUAUAGCAAAAUUGGUUGGUUGUAGGGGACUACUAUUAUUCAUUAAAAUAGUGUCUUUCUUCCAAUUUCUUUUUUGAAUGCAGUUGUUUGACUUAUGCCUUGAUGGGGCUAAACUCUGCUUCUUAGGAUUUUUGCAUUCUUCAAAAUUCAUUCUUAUAUGGAUUAAUGACUUUCUUGGAAAAUAAAUCAAAAUACAAGAAGUUGAAAUCGAAUGCUAGAUUACACAAAAUUCAUGAAAGGUUUGUGUUUCCUAUGAUACUGAUCAAGUGUUCAAUUUAUGAUGGGAGGAGUUGAUGUCUCUGGAGUUGGUUAAAGAUACUACAUGAGCCUGCUUGGAAAUUAAAUAUGAAAAACAUUUUUUUGAAUUUUUUCUAUAAAUGUAUUCUAAAUUUAGUCUAGUAUAAAAAAUACUCAAUUCCCUAAAAAUAUUCUUCUAUCUUUUCAACUCUAGUAGUAUAAAAAGUAAUUGCAUGUUUUUAAAAUAAAUUAUUUAAAAAUUUGUCUUUUGGCAAAUAUAUUUUGUAAGUUGGAGAAUUAAUUUUAGUAAUGUUCUUCAUCCCUAUUUCCUCUUCUAUAUUUCCAACCACUCCUUCUAAAUCUUAAUCAAUCUCAUAACAUUAAGUUAGAUAGAGACAAUUACUUGUUUUAGAAAAAUCAACUUCUGAAUGUUAUAAUCGCCAAUAAGCUCGAAGAUUUCAUUGAUGGAACCAAUGUUUCUCCUCCUCAAUUCACUUACCCAUAAGAGUAGAUCGUCAAUCCCCAAUUUUGGAUGUGGCAUUGUCUAACCUAACUUCUAAUGAGCUACUUCUAUUCCUUAGUAAUAAAAAGGAUGCUCAGCAUAAUCAUUGAACUCAUCACAACCUCAAAGACUUGGAACACUCUAAAGAGAACCUAAGUUGCAACAUCUCGUUCUUGUGUCCUAAAGCUUCACAUUGAAAUUCAAUCCAUUAAGAAAAAUGGUCUCAUUACAUGAGUAUGUUUUUAAGUUUAAGAAUAUUGUAGAUAAGCUUGCUUCCAUUGGUGAAUUGAUCUUAAAUAGAGACCAAUUGAUCUACUUAUUUCAAGGUUUAGGAGUUGAGUACAAUCCAUUUGUAACAUCUUUCCAUACUAGAUCUUAUUAACCAACUAUAAAGGAGGUUCAUACCCUUUUUUUAUGCUUUGAUAUUAGAUUAUAGAGGCAAAAUAUGGUUGAAACCAAAUCAACAAAACCCUCAAAAACUUCACUUCAAAAUCUCAAUUCUUGGUCUUACUACAAUGCACAUAAAUAGAAUUUAUUUCCACGCAGUAGCCAAAAAUUCUUCACUACACAUAACAACUAGUUUAGUACCCAAUCUCAAGUUGGAAUUCUUGGAAAACCUCAAGGACAACAAUAGUAGGAAAAUAGGAACAAAACUUAGAAGAGGAUAAAGAAUUGGUUGCAUAAAUUGAAGAAGAAAAUCAUGAAAUGGAAAGUAAAAUUCAGUAAAGAAUAAAAAAUAAUAAUUUUUUUAAUAUUCUUUAAAAACAAAGGGCAUGUAAUAAGUUGUUUUUAAAAAUAUUUUUCAAAAAAAAAAAUUUAAAACUUAUUUGGAUAAUUUUUUUAAAAAAAAAUAAUUUUUCUAUUAAAAAAAUGAUAUUGAUAUCUACAUAGUUUAUUUUCAAAAGAAAAAUAAUAGGAAUUGCUUUAGACCAGUGCUUGUCCACAAGUUAAUGAUAUUAAUUGUGUCACUAUUUAAAUUUCAAAUUAUUUAAAAAUUAUUAGACUCAUUAAUAAGUCCAACAUGUUCAAUCUCACUUGAUUUAAAGUUUAUUUAAAAAUUCAUAAAAAUAUAAUUAUAUGUAAAGAAAAAAACUAACAAACUUAUAUAAAAUGAAUUUUGGUUUCUAACUUUUUAAUGUUAAUCAUAUCAAUUUUGAGUUUAUAACUCUAGUAUUAAUUGAUUUGAUUUUAGAAUUUUAAAUUAUUUUUUAAACAUUAAGGAAUUUUAUUGAUCAAGUCUUACUUGAUUUGAAAUAUAUUUGCAAAGAUAAGUUAAAGGAGAUUUUUAUUAAAAUACAUAUAAUUUAAAGUGAGAUCAUAUUUAAAGAUUUUCGGUAUCACUAUAGGGUAAUGAGAGAAAAUGUAAGAAGAAAGAUAUGAUGUUAUGCUUUAUUUUCUUUUUAUGAUUUGUAUUUUUUUUUAUUUCUCUAAGUUUUUUUUUCUUUUUAAAGAUAAGUGAAAACAACUUCGAUUUUUUUUUUUUUUUUUUUAAAUUAUAUUUUACUUUGUUUCUAAAAACAGUUAAAGCUAUAUUUUUUGUUCUCAAAGCACUAAGAUUAUGUUUGAUUUAUGGAAGUACGAAAACCAAAAACUAAGAAAAACGACUUUCUCAUAUUGGAUUUACCAUAAAAAUGCAAAAAGAAAAAAAGAAAAAAAAACUAAAAUGAGCCAAAAAUUUAUGUAUUUUGAAAAUAUUCAAUCUUUAUACAAAAAGAAAAAAAAAAGUGUGAUGACUUUGAAGAAGCAUAUAAAAACAAUUUUUAAUAUUAAAUUUAUUUAUAUUUUUUACUUUUUUUUCUCAAAUUUUCUAAAAAUCAAAUACAGUGUAAAGGAAAUAAAAUAUAAUUAAAACUUAUACAUUUUCAAAUUAUUUAAUUUUUAUAUAAAACAUGAAAAAUAAAUGAAAUAAGUUUCAAAAAUAUAUACAAAUUAAUUAAUUUAAUUUAUAUAUAUAUAUAUAGAUAUAUUCUUUAAUGCAAACCUGCAAAUAGAAUUUCUUCAAAGAUGGCAUAGAGUAGAAUGCUCCAUGAAGUGCAGGCCUAACGACACAAUCAAGGUCCAGGCCAUCCCACUAGGAGCCCAAGCCACAGCCCAAGCCACAGCCCAAGCUAAACCGAAAGCUAAGGCAGGACCCAAUGUGAGGAACGUAGCCCAUCAUGGAACCCACAAGAGAAAACCAACUUUUGAAUUACUUGCUCGCACUCAAUUGCUAACUCAUGACUAACCAUGGUUUGACUUUUAGUUGCCAACCAAGGUUAAGCCCCGAGUCAAUUUGUGCUUAUCCCAUCCGCACAACAAUUUUGACCAAAAUAUGAUACUUUCAAAACUACUAAAAAAUUUACAUCACUUUUGAGACAUUAAUUCAAAAUUAUUUUUUCAAAGUCCAACAUUAAUUCAACUUUUGCAGGGGCGAAGUUAAGAAUAGGAUGCAGAGAGUUCCAUGGGGCAAAUAUAAACCAAAAGGCUAAUGUUUGGCCCGUCGGAUGGUAUAUUUCUCCCUUAAAAUUGAUGUCAGACGUUUUGAAAAUCGAUUUUAUUGAUUCAGUUUUCGAUUACUUUGUCUCCUAACCAAUAAUACUCAAAUUAGACAAAUAGUCUAAGAUUUUCGUAUCUUAUUCGAUAGUUGAUGAUUUUUUUUUAUUAGUAUAUAUAUAUAUAUAUAUUAAAUACUAUUAAAAUAAUUUAUUUUUUUGUUAGACUAUAUUCAAAUUAAUUUGUGAGUAGAUUUAUUAUAUUUCAAACUAAAAAUUUUUAAGGUCCUGUUUAGUUUCGAAAAGUACCAAGGGAAAGAAAAAAAAUUAUUAGACUAUAUUUGAUUUUUGAAAAAUAUUAUAAAAGAAAAAAAAAUGUUAAAGUAAAUGGUUUUUUAUCGUGAAAAAUAUAAAAGAAAAUCAAAUAUAAUUAAAUUUAAUUUAAAAUUUAUAUAUAUUUAAAUUAUUUAAUUUGUUAUAAUAGAAAUAAAUAAAUAAAAUGCAUUUGAAGAAAUACAUAGAAAUAAUUUAUUAAAUUUAAAUUUAUUUUUUACUUUCCUUUAUUUUUAUUUUUUUUUUUCUAUUUUUCCUCUUUAUUUUAUUUUCUUUAUAUUUUCUCUCAAAUUUUAUGGAACCAAACAUAGCCUUAAUGAAAUCAAAUAUUUAGCUCGCAUUAGUAUUUGGUAUACACUUUUAAAAUUCAAAUUUUUUUUGUUCAUAUGCAUUAUAUAUAUUAUAUACUAUUGUCAAACAUCAUAAAUUACAUAUAUUAAUUUUUUAAUAUAAUGACUUCAAUAUAUCUAUUAUUAUUUGUUCCAUCAUUUUUAGGAGUGGUUUUUUUUAAUUAAAAAAAUGUAAAUAAAAAUAACAAAUGAAAAGAAUACGAGAAUUAUUUAAUAAAAUCUUUUAUUUAGUUGUAUUUAAUUUGAUCAAAUUAAUAUUUUACAUAUAAGGUCUGGUUACGAAAUUAAAGGGUGCUUAAAAAAAAUAUCACCAAUCAGAUAAUGUCACAUAUACAAUUUUUGGUCUCAUUACUUAUACCUUGAUUCCAUUUGUUUAUAUUCUUAUAUAUUUAUCACAUUCGUGUGUAUAUAUAUAUAUACAGGUUUAAUGGUCUAAAUCUCAUUAUCCAUAUUUUGACGAUUAUUUAUAUUAAAGAGUAUGACAUGCACAUUGAGUUCGAAUCCGUAAAUUUAAGUUUUUAGAAAAAUUGAUAAUUUUGAACAUGGUGUUAGAACAUGGCCUUGGGGAAGUUCAUGGGUUUGAACCACCUUAUAUAGAUGAAUUGGAACAUGAUGUCAAUGUCAUGACACAAUGAUAUGAUGUAAUGGCUGCCGUCCAUGCACAAAACAACAAAACUAACGUAGUGGCAGUUGCUUGUAUACAGAAUUCACUUACCAACUACGACACUCCCCAUUUAUUAAAUUAGAUAUUGAGAAGAUACAAAUUUCUUACAGAUCGAUCAUGUCUAAUAAUAACAAAUGUCACGGCAUUUCUAUAUAUCCUUUUCACACCUAUUGGUAAGGGUAAUAGAGUGGCUGACUCGACCCCAUCUUCCAGGCCGGCACCAGCGGACAAAGCUCCACUCGAUUACCAAGAACCAGCUGUAGUGUGAACCUGUUCAUAUUCUUUUGGUCAUGGAGUACUGGGUGUUUCGACUUGGAAGGGAGGACGGGAGGAGGACCCACAGUCCAUUGUCGUUGAAAUUUGAUCUAUAUGAGUUAGGCAUAUUUGUAUGAGGCAGAAAAUAUUUUCAGCAACUUUGAAUUCGUUUUUCAAUCGUAUAUGGUAGUUAGAAAAAUGUUUUCAAAAAAAGUUAUUGGAUCACGAUUUAUUAAUCAGAUCAAUUAUCGAACUAUGGUUGAACCGUGAUAAAUACAUAAUUUAUAUAUUAUUAAAAACAAAAAUAAUUAUAAAAAUAAAAAUAAUAAUUUAUAUAUUAUUUAAAAAUUAAAAUUUUGUUUGAAAAAUGAGAACACUUAGUUUCAAAUUAGAAAUUUAAAUUAAAAUCAAAAUUUUAAUUUAAAAUUUGAAAUUUUAAAAUUUAUUUUUAAAUCAAAAACUUAUUUUAUAAUCACAAGUUUUAAAAAUCAUGAAGCAAAAAAAAAUAAUAAAUAUAAAAUAAAAUAAAUAAUAAUAGAGAUGAGGUAAAAUUUUUGGAAAAAAGGUAGGGGCAAGGCGGUGCUGUGAAGGGCAAGAAAGAAGGAAGGGUUUUUUUUUGGGGGAGGGGGGGGGCUGAUGAUGCGUCGGAUGAGAACUAUUUAGUUUCGAUUGAGUCAUCUGGUUCACCAACCUGACUACCGGUUCCGGUGCUUCGACAUCAGAUCAAAGGCUCUUCGACUCAAAUGGUCGAAUCAAAUCGGAUUGAUGAUCGACUAAUGAUCAGACCGUUCGAUUCAAUCCGAUUUUUAAAACAAUGGUUGGGAAUGAGUGCAUGUGACUCAUCUUUGAUGCGAUGUACUGGGAAAGUGGUGUGAAUCCAAGAUUUUGAAUAUUCAAAGUUCCAAAGUUUUGGUCUUGUCUACUAACUUGGUCGCUAAGUUUUGGUCCUCUAUGGCACCCUUGUGGUCUUCAGAGAAUUGCUAUCAGGUCUCAAAAAUAGUUUUGUAUCCUUGAAAAAAAAAAUUCACAACUACAUAAAAAAAAAAUAUGAUGGUUUUAAAUGAAUUCUUCUAAAUUAUGGAUCACAACGGGUUAGGUUAAGGAGAGUUACCCUCAUCUCAACCUCAUCUCGUUUAUUCAAAAUAUUUCUUAUCUUUAUUCCAUUAAAAAAACUUAAACACAUGGGGCAUGACAUAUGGGAAAUUCUCAUACCUGCAUCACAUACUCCAUUUAACUUUAUUUUUUAUUUUUUAAAAAAACUAUAUUUUAUAAAUAAUUAAAAUAUUAUAAUUUUGUAUAACUUAUUUUAAAACUUUUUAUUAUAUAUAUAUAUACAUAUAUAUAAUAUGAAAUUUAAAUUUAAAUUAAAUUAAAUUAAAUUUUAUGAAGUGAGACAAGACAAUACCCAAACACAGCCUAAUUUGUCCUAAUUUUUAAAAAGAUCGGACAAUUUUUAAAAAGAUCACAAACUCGUCUCAGACCUGUUUAUUUAAAUUUCAAACUUAUCUUAUUAGAGAUUGAACCAGAUUGGUACCCGAAAAAAUUCACCCCACUGUCAUCCUUAUUCUAAAUUUUUUCACUUAUUUUUCUAGGAGUUAAUUUUAAAAAAUAUUUAUAUAAAUAUAAAAAAUGAUUGAAAUAUUACAUAUAAAAUUUAUUUUUAAAACAUAUUUAAAAAUAUAGAAAACAUGUUACAAAACAUUUUGAGUUAUGAUGUGACUUUUAUUCUUCAAAACAUUAUAAUUAUUUUUGAAAAUUAUUUUCAAAAACACAUUCCAAAUAGACACUAUAAUUUCAAGAGCAAUUUUAAAAAAUAGUCUUUGAAAACUGUUUUAAAAAUCAUUUUUUGAUAUUUUAUUAAAAAGUUUUUUUGAUAUUGUUUUUAAAUAUAUAUUUUUUAAAAUACAUUUUAUUUGUAGUGUUUUAACAUUUUCAAUCAUUCUUCGUAAAAAAAAAUUAAAACAAGUGAAAAUAGCUGAAAUGUUAAUAAGCUAUUAAGUUAUGGUUUUAGUUUUCCAAAAUAAUAAGUAAAUUAAUUAAGGAAAAGGAAAUACUUAGUUUAUCAUCAAUAAAAAGGAAAUACUUUUUAUAGGAUAUUAUAAAAAGUGAAGAAAAUAAAAUAUUAGGCUAUGUAUGAUUGCCGAAACGGACUAAAAAUUUUUUUAAAAUAAAUUAUUAUAUUUGGUUUCAAUAAGAAAAAAAUGAAAAAAAAAUAAUUAAAUUUUAUAUAUUUUUAAAUUAUUUAAUCUUUAUAAUAAAAAAAUAAGUAAAAUGAGUUUAAAAUAAUAUAUUUAUUUUAAUUCUAUUCUUUAAUUUUUCUUCACUUUUUUUUAUUAUUUUCUUUGCCUCAUAUUUUCCAAAACCAAACAUAACCUCACUUUUUUUUUUCCUUUUUUUUUUUACUAUUUUCUUUGCCUCGCAUUUCCUUAACCAAACAUAACCUAAAACAAUUUUCUUUUAUUUUAUUUUAAAUUAUGUUUGGUUUCAAAAGCUUUAAGAACAAAUGAAGAGGAAAAAUAUGACCAAAAAAAAAAUUGUUUAAUUGAAUUGAGGAAAAACAAUUAAGUCAUUAAAAAAAUAUAUUUUUCUUGCACUGUUAUUUAAAAAGAAAAUCUUUUAAAAUUUUCUCUGUCGGUUGCCUAGUAUUUUUUUAUGACAUCCAAAUAUGAAAAAAUAAAAAAUAAAAAAUAAAAUUCUCAAACCUUUCUGGACACCCAAACAGAGCGUGUAUAUAAGGAGAUAUAACACAUCCCCUGAGAAUGCGAUGACAGGGUGAAGACAAAGGCAAGGGAAGAAAAUGGGGGAGAUGCUGGGCGAUUUGGGGUCUGUGAUGGCGGCGUUGAUGUUCAUCUGGGCCAUGUUCCAGCAAUACUUCCCUCACGACCUUCGCCGCCAUUUCGAAAAAUACUCCCACAGAUUGAUGAAGUUUUUCUACCCUUACAUCCAAAUCACUGUCCCUGAAUACGGCAGAGAUCAUUUCAUGCGCAAUGAAGUCUACACCGCCAUCGAAACCUAUCUCAGCUCCAAUACCGCCGUCCAAGCCAAGCGCCUCAAGGCCGACACCGCCAAAAACAACCAGUCACUGGUUCUCACCAUUGAUGAUCAUGAGGAGGUUGAAGACGAGUUUAAGGGAGUCAAGCUGUGGUGGGCUUCAAGCACCAUCACAGCCAGAAAUCAGACCUUCCCUUUCUAUGGGCAGCCGGAUGAGAAGAGGUACUACCGGCUGACUUUCCACAAGAAACACCGGGAUUUGAUCACCAAGGAGUACCUCAGUCAUGUGUUGAGGGAAGGGAAGGCGAUUAAUGUCAGAACCCGGCAGCGGAAGCUUUAUACCAAUAAUGGGUCGAUGUGGAGCCAUGUGGUAUUUGAUCACCCUGCAACUUUUCAUACCCUUGCCAUGGAGGCUGAUAAGAAGAGGGAGAUUAUCGAGGACUUGGUUUCUUUCAGCAAAGCAGAGGAUUUCUACGCAAGAAUUGGGAAAGCUUGGAAGCGGGGUUACCUCCUUUAUGGCCCUCCUGGGACGGGAAAAUCUACCAUGAUUGCUGCCAUGGCGAAUCUGUUGGAGUACGACGUCUAUGAUCUUGAACUCACGGCGGUCAAGGACAACACCGAGCUGAGGAAGCUGCUGAUCCAGACGUCGAGCAAGUCCAUCAUUGUGAUUGAGGACAUCGACUGCUCCCUCGAUUUGACGGGUCAGAGGAAGACGAAGAAGGAGAACGAGGCGGCUGAGGAAGAAGAGAAAGACCCCAUUAAAAAACAAGCGAAGGUAGGGGAUUCUGAUCAAGGGAAAACCAGCA